CCUCCUGCCGGUUUCUCGUUUUGAAUGCUGGAACGUCCCAAUUUGCCACCAACACAGCUCGGUACGCCCCGAACCGGGCGGUUCAAGAUGGUUCCGCAUUCCUUGCUUUAGGUUGUGGAGCUAUAAAUAUUCGAAUUUAGUAUUCAUGAAUGUAGGAUCUGGUAUUUCUUUAAAGGUCAGUUGUUCAUCAUCAUAGGGUGCGUGGGCUCCAUCUGUUUAAGGAUGAAGUUUAUUCAUUAACCGACUUCAGUUGGCCCACUAAAAAUGAGUUAUGGUGUGCAUAUCACAAUUGUGUUGGUUGUGGGUCUGUUAGUAACAUUUUGUAAGUUAAUUAUUGGGGGUUGUUUGUUGAACAUGUAUGGACAUUUACUUCAUUGAUAACAGACUUUUUGACUAGGUUAUAUAAGAAUUCUCUAUGAAAAUGUUACUUUACUAGUCUUGCAUCAGAUCGUUGGCAGUACUUAUUGUGUUUGACAGUUCUGAAAAAAGAGUAAUAAAAGAAGACGCUGAAAGACACUCUGUUUUGAGGAAGGCUAAAUGAUACAAUUUCAAAAAAAAGAGCAGGUGGGUCUGAUCUGAGAGGUUAAAAAUUUGUUGGUCUUGCAAGAUAGGUGUGACAUGUCCCACUUGUCUGAUGUGUCCAACCUGUUGGCAUUUGCAGGAUAGGCAACAAGAACCUGCUAAUGGGCUAAGUGGGUAUAAUUCAUAACAGCUCAUGCUAGUGCUAACCUGAUCAGACAUUGCCCUUCUGACUUUAUAUUCUUUCAUGUUGCAAAUCCAAUGGGUGAAAGUAGUUGGCACCAUGACAUCUAAGUUCAGCUUAUUCCUCACCACCCCCCACCACACAAAAAAAGGGCCUAUUGUUAGAAGACAUGGAGCAUUUCAUAAUAUUCUCUUUAAUCAUACAUUAUUAGAGAUACUGACAUCACUAGUCAAGGCUUUGAGUUUUAUCUAUCUGGUUUUUGAUUCACAUAAAUCAUAUGUUCCAUAGACCAUCCACUAACCCUUCUUAAGAUUCUGCCCAUGAUAUGCUCUACCAGUUGGUACCAGUGUGUACUAAGCAUACCGUAUCAUACUGAUACUGAAACGUCAGUAUGGAGGGCAUACCAAAUGUCGAUACAUCGAAUGGACCCUCAUAUUGGGCAUACCGAUAUUGUACCAGGAUGAUGCUAGUAUAGAUUUCGGUACCAAGAUGGUGAAACUUGCUUUUGCUUGUCAUGCCUUGGACAUAUGACCAAACUCGACUGCUUCAGCUAUUACAAUAAAUUAGGAAUUUUAUUUUGCCAGCUGAUGCAUGCUUUCCGGAGAUACUAUGAAUCACUGUUCUUUGUGGGUUCAUCUGAUUUUGGGAUUUGUAACUUUGUAUUGAUACAUUUUUGUUGAAGCUUUAGUGGUCCCUGUGAAGCAUAGUAAGCUUGCGAUAAGUGCCUAUUCUCAACUCUGGCAUGUUUGGAAGAGUGAAAUAUGGUAAUUUUCAAUUAGGGGUGCCGGGAAACUUCCAAAGAUUGGGAAUGCACCAAUUUCAUGAUGGUGGACCUUGUAUUUGCUUCACUCUAAUGAUAGGGGGUUAAGCAAAGGAGGAAGAAGAGAUAGGGAAAGAGGAAGAGAAAGUGGAGAAAGGAGAUAACAAGUGGAAUCCACCCCUAACUUCAAAUAGAAAUAAGUCAAAUAAUCCAAUCUUUACCAUUCACUAUGGCUUUAUAUAGAUAACACUUUCACUGUGGCUUUAUACAGAUAACACAUGGCACUUCAUAUCGUAAUGCAUUAAUGCUUACAACUUUCUAAAAGACAGAUAAUUAAAUACUUUCACAAACACCAAAAGAGACAUGCAUGAACUAUAAUUAAUAAAGCCUAGAAACACUAAAAGACAUUCAACAUUAACAACAUAAUUAUAACAUAAUAACCAUUAGUUAUUAAUUAUUAAUAAAUACUAUUUUGACCAGACUUUUGACUUAGACUGGUAUAGGGGCUCAUGAAAAAUGGGAUGGUCCAACUCUCCUGCGUCAUUCUGGCAAUGACAGUCCAGGAUGCUGAUUAUUUAUAAUAAUUAUAUUGGAGGGUUAAAUAUUGUUGGCAUACCUCGUACCUGGAAGUUCAUACUUGGUGUAAUGGUAAUCUUUACAUUUUGCUGUCUCAUUUUUUGAAAAAUAUUAAAGGUUUAUGGUUUGUUAAUGGUUUGAAAUUCCUACUAUGAGAUGAUGGAAGAUGGAAAGUUGUACACAGUUACUGAGAUUAACUUUUGUUGCUUGUGUUAUUGCUUUCACUACAUCACAUGAGAAAAUAAUUUUAUAUUACUACCAGUUAGUACCCAGAUAUGCUUGAGUUUGAUCUGAUGUGGACCAUCCACCUUUCAUAUCUUGGACUAACACCUGACUUCUUGAAAGUUUGUCAGUUGCCACAUAUCUAUAAAUCAAGGGAAAGUUCUGCAAGACUGUACAGUGUGUGUGUAGUUGGACUUGGCUACAUUUGAGGGUAGCCAGUCCUGGAUCGGUUGUCUCUCCAACCCUUGGAUCAGUGCAGAUCAGUGGGGGUGGGAGAGCCGACCGGAUCUAGGACUGGCUACACUUGAAUGCAGCCAAGUCUCUCUCUCUCUCUNNNNNNNNNNNNNNNNNNNNACUCUCUCUCUCUCUCUCUCUCUCUCUCUCUCUCUCUCUCUCUCUCUAUCUAUCUAUACACACAGACACACACAUAUAAUCCACAACUAUUAGGUGGUACAGACUACAGAGGCACUAAAAUGCAGGGAGCAUUUCACAGUAUAACUAAGAAAGAUCAGUUUUGAUAAUUUAGUACAUAAGAGGAACCUUAAGAAUUGCGCUGGUUUAGGAAAGUGGGUAGUGGCAUUAUGAAAAUUGUAUUGGACUUGUGCCAUGAAGAUUCUAAGAGGUAUACUUGUUUCUGUCAAAUGGUCUACCUGGAGAAUUGUAAGAUGUUAUUCAGAAGAAUUUGGAAAAAUCUUAUUCAGGAUGAUGCUCUUAAUAUGGCUGACUAGUGAAGAAUGAUUAUAAAACUGUGUGCUGGUUAUAGCCUCCAAAAUGAUUAUUGGUCUUUGAAAAUAUUUUUUAUAAUUUAUGUUUGUGAUAUUUUGGUGGUUUCUGCUAUCUAUCUGUAUAAUGGUUCCACUACUGGAUUUGGUUUUAAGAAUGUGGAACAAAAUUGCUUAAAAUUUAAGAAGAAAGAAUUUUUUUCAUUAAAAAAUAAUUGAAGCUUUGAACAAACCAAGUAUAUGCUGUCAUCAGCAUCCAUGUCAUCAUUCUUUGUUUCUUUUGAAUGCUGUGUUGGCUAUAUUAGUUUGUUGCUUGAUCUGAUGCGUUAUUCUUAAGAAUUAUCAUAUUGACUUCAUAUAUUAUAUUAUUGGAUGACAUUUAGGUAAGUUUCUUGACCUGGGUAUUAUUUAUGACUGCAGCUUACUCUCUUCUCAGGAUUUGUCAACUAUCAGAUGGUUCGAGAAGCAUAUGAUGGUGUGUGUUGUACAUGUUUCUCUAGCCAGUUUUUAAUCUUGUCUAGUUGAAAAAUAGUGCUCAUUCUUGGAUGUUUUCUCUCUUGAUGAGGUUCAGCUAGGAUAUUUUUAAAUCUUUUGUUUGUCUGUGUUUUUCUUUUUUUUUUUUUUGUAAGGACAGUGGUUGAUGGUGCUUUUGCGUCUUUAAAUAAGCAAACCUUAGUGUUAAUUAUUAUAUCAAUUAAUUAUUUUAGUAGCAGCUUGGCCAGCAGGUUCAAUAUAUAAUUUUGAGUCGUCAGGGAUGCAAGAAAUGGACUGGGGGUAGGGAGUUGAAUCUUCUUAAAUGAGGACCCAUAUGCUGACUUCUUUAUAAAAGAUUAUUUUAGUAUCAACAAACCAAGGGGUGAAAUAUUAGUAUAAUUUUUCAGGUGGGCUUAUUCCAUCUAUCUGAGCAUGCUUUCCAUUAGUCUGUCUCUAUAUGCUCCUAAAUAUAGCCAUCAUUUCAUCUCAGAAUUUUUUUAAAAAAAUAUAAGUCCCACUUUCAUCUCAGUUUAUUGUCUCCCCUUCCACGUAUAUGUAUAUGCAUACAAAAAUCAAGACUUUCAUCAACUUAGUCAGCUUUAUGUCCUUUUAUAUUCAUCAAUUAUUCUGUUAAAAGCGGCCUCCAAUUGAUUUCCAAGCUUUUUGGGAAUUUCUUUCUGCAGCAUCCAUAUUAGCUUAGAGUUUCCUCUCCUCUUUCUUAAUCCCCACUAAGGUUUGAGUAACUCUGUUUACUAGGAGAACUUCGUUGCACAUGUCCAUAUUAUCUCAAUAGCUUAUCUUUUACUUUCAGUCAAUAUGUCUAGCACCAUGGCUGUCUCUACCAUGCUUAUGUUCAUCCAGCCAUUGCUUAUGUACCACAAAUCCAUGUCAACAUACUCUACCAUGUUCAUCUUUUUUAUUUACUUCUGGAACCACAUGCCAUUGCAGGCCUUAUUGUGUUUUCUUAGAACUUCCCUUGAGUUGUGGAGACAUGAACAGAUCACAUAGCAACCCAGAAACAUCUGUUGAUCUCUAAUUUUAUUAAUAUAUUUUCAUUAAUCCCUCUAGUUUUUCCUUUAGUAUAUUCAGAUACCGGUUUAUUUGUAAAUUCUCCUUUAUGUUGAUUUUAUUGGGAUUGUUUUUACCAGUCUUCAUUGCCAUCUAAGUUUGUGAAUUGCAAUUUUAAAUAUACUAUUCAAUCUUCUAGUUCAAUUGACUUUUAGGCUCCUAUCCUUCAUAAAUGCAUCCAGCAAUCAACCUUGACCUUGUGUCCUUUUGUCAAAUUGUAUCAUAACAAGUAUCAUGCUAGACAGUACAUCUUGAUGAAUACCAGCCUGUAAGUUCAUAUAAGAAGACAAGGGCCUGGAGUCGAUCCUUGGUGUAUACCUCAAAUGUGACUGGAUUUUCACUUGUCUCGCCACAGCCAUCCAUGAUACUUGCCUACUCUCUCUCUAAGUUGAAAGAGAUUAUUUGUAAAUUCUGUUUCUUUUCUCCAAAUAUUCCCAUAGGUUGCCUAAGAGAAAUAAACCUUGACCAUUGACCUUCCUUUCCUAGAUUUUAAUUGGUUCUCUAUAAUUGAGCACUUCUGUAAAUGUUUAUUUCAUCAUUCUUUCCAUUACCUCAUAGUAUAAGUUCAUUUCCAUGAUAUUACUGCUGUUUCCUAAUCUCCUUUAUUCUUGUCCGUGGGUACCAGAUACUUUCCCCCAUCACUUGCCAUUUUCUGAUUCUAAUGUAUCAGUGGAUAAGGUAGAACCAAAUUGAUAUGUUUUGGUCCUUGAUCUUUUGAAGCUCUAUUGAUAUUUCAGGCAGCCCUAGUGCCUUCCCUCUUUUUAUCUAUUUCAUAGCUUUCUCUGUGUACAUUAUCUGAGACCAACAAUGAAGCACCUGGUGACAGUUCUUGUUGUGCUUGGUACGAAAAGGACAAACAUAUGAAAAGUGGAGCUUAUUUGAGCAUCUACUCUGUGUUUCUGAAGCAAACAUUUUGGUGUUUGGCUAAGCAGAUAGCUACUAGGAUAUGAUAAGGCUGGUCUGGCAGUGAUAUGAUGAUAAAAGAAAUGAAGCAUGGAGGCAAGUGAAAUUUACGGUAUCUAAUUCUCACUUGAAGUGCCCUCGGAACCUGUGUGAAGGUUUUGAGACAGUGAUGCCAAGCUCUUGUAUCACUAGACUUGAGGUGAAUGUGUUAAAGCAAUCAUACAAUCUCAUUACUAAAUAGGCUAAAUGAUUUGAACUUGAAAAAUUGAUAGUUGGCAUCUCACACUAAGGAUUCAUGUACAGGAUCUUCUGAAAAUUCUGUAAUCUAUAAUCUAUGCAGAAAGUUUGCUGAAGGAAUGAAAGGCUAGGCAUACAGAGGGCACAGAUAUGUAUUUGUGACACCAUUUAAAACACAUCAUGUGAUGAAUGAAAAUUAUAAAUGUUAAUUGCACUCGAGUUGUUUAUUGUCUAUAAUGCAUAAACAUGUGCACAUGAUAUCACAUUAUCUUAUCCUGAAAAUAUUUAGUCAUUAAAGGGUUAAUAUUGCGAUAUUAUGAUUAAAAGUAAACUAAAAUCCAGUAGCACUGGAAAUUGUAGCUAAAUUUGUAAACUAAUUUUUUUAUAAGCUCUUUUCUUUUAUGAAAAUUGAAGAUGUGUAGGAAGUUAGAUAUCUCUAGACUUUCUUUGGAUAGGAUUGCAUUAUUUUUUUUCCUUUUAUAGGCUUAUUGACUUUUAGCAUGCAAUUUUACUAAUUACCCCAAUUUAUAAGUUAUUUAAUAAGGAAAAUGGAUAUUGUGCUUACUUCAUUCAAAUGGAAGCACAUGAUUUGAGCAAGUUAGGUCAGUCUGCUUUAGUUGAAAUCUAGUAAGUCAAAUUUGUAUUUGUUUAACUUUUGGAUGAAGUACAGCAGUAUAAUAUGCUGGUUAACAUCUUGUUGCAUGUGAUCUGGUUACAUAGGUUGGGGAAUGGAUAUUAAAAGAAAAAAAGGAAAUUUAGUACCAUUUUUCUUCCAUGAAGUUAAAGAAUUCCCCUGACACUCCCAGAUUUGACUCUUAUCUAAUUCAAUUGUAAGGUUUAUUUGCAAUGUUAUUUAUAGGAUGCCUAGCUAUUUAUAUUCCAUUAGCAACAUGCAAGCAAUUUCUUGUUUUGACCAAAACAGUUAUCAUUCAAUAUUGUUUACUUUUUUAAAAUGUUAUGCACCCUUCUGGGAAUGGUUAGUUAUCUAUACCUAGUUUGAAGUAUUUAAUUUACUGUUUCAGCUGGAAAAUCUAGAUUUGGGAGUCUUCUAUCACUUGGUCAUGUUCAGGCUAAAACAGACAGGCUUUACAUGAGGGGUCCUGGAGGGCGUGGGGAAGUUGAAGUUGCUGUUUCUGGAAUAACAGGUUCCUAAAAUUUCUUUCAAUACAUUUUUGAUUGAUUUAUUUCCUCAAAGACAUUUGAGUAAGAUUUUUCAGAUUCAAAAAGUGAUUUUAUGACCUCACGUUUAGUAUAUCGCAUAAAUGUUAAGUUGAAUGUAGGUACUUGUGAAGUUGAAUGCAAAUACUUGAUAAAUUAAAUCUAUUGUCAGUUAUGUGAGCAACCUUGACUUGUGUCUAACAUCCAUGCACANNNNNNNNNNNNNNNNNNNNNNNNNNNNUUUAAGAUGGUGCUAACGGCCAAAAUAUUUAUGUCCGGCGCUUUCUAGAUUAAUCUUUUUUGUUAAUUCUGUUUCUACAAUUGUCGUAGACUGCAGACCAGGUCCUGAUAGAUUCUCUCUUCCAGAGAAUAUUGAAAAUCUUUUUUUUUUCCAUUUGGCUGUAUUUCCUAUUACCAGGCAGAUGGGGUAAGCUUGUUGGCUAUGUUGGAGCAUUUUCAUUGAGAAAAGUAUAUCAAAGAUGACUAUUAAGUAUUUAAUUAUAUUCCCAUCUCCAUCCACCUCCUUCGGCAUGAGUCUACAAAUAAGAAUUGACAAAUGAAACAGUUUGUAUCUUUCGAAUGAGCUUUGUCAGAAAAGAUUCAAUAUAAAAUUGGAAUAGGAUUAAAAUAGAAGUAUAUAACUAUAAGAACUGAUCUGUGUAUUAGAGAGUUUAUAUGGUGUUUAUUCUUUUUAAGUAAACAAGAUGCAAUGGUUUUCUCUCUAUUCUUUCUUCUUUUGCUAAGAGGUAUUUGCAUUUCUUUAUUUUGACCCUAUAGGCUAGCCUUUGGCUCAUUAAUUUGUUAGCUUUUGGUAUAUGGCCAAUCUUAUCCUAGAAUUUCAAAAAUGGUUUAGUGGAUGGUCUGCGACAUAUGAUGCUAAGAUGACUCAUGUGAAUUUAAAACCAGACAUACUCAAAAGUCAAAACCUUGACCAGUGUUGCUAGUAUCUCUAAUAAUGUGCAACUAAAGAGAUCACAAAAUGCUUCAUGUCUUCUAACAAUUGCUAGACCCUUAUUUUUGGGGAGUGGUGUGGGGACUUGGUUGGUUGGCAUGGACUGUACUCAGAUGUUCAACAAGGUGACUGACCUACCUUUCAACCAUCAUAUUUGCAGCAUGAGAAGGGAAAAAUAAAUAUUGUCAGGAUGGCAAUAUGUGAUCAGGUCAGCCUUAAUAUGCUAACAUUAGGGGUUAUGAGUUAAAGCUGCAUAGCCUACUAGCAGGUUGUUGUUGCCUAUACAAACAUGCCAACAUGUUGUACACAUCACACCCAGCUUGCAAAGCCCUUAAAUUUAAUGUCUAAGAUUUGAUGUGUUCCUAGCAACAGGUGCUCAUAUUCCUGUUUUGCUAGUAUCUUACAGAAAACUUGAUAAACUGUGAGAGUUUCACUCUUUUUGUAUGGUCUGGAACACUAAGAGUUAAGCACGGCUUUCUUUCUUGGUAGCAUUGGAGCUAUGUAUGUUAAUCAUGGCCUUCUUUCUUGGUAGCAUUGGAGCUAUGUUUUUUGGCAGGUUAGAUUUUACAAAUAUUUGAUAUGAAAGGUAAUAUAUUUAUAAUUCAAUAUGGUUCUGGGAACAGCAUCUCUCUCUAAACUUGUUUUUAGUGAUGGGAUGGAUUUACCUGCCUGUUAAAAUGACAACUCAGAUGACAUUAAUCACAUCUAAAAUGAUGCUUUUGUUGCAUUGUAGAUCAAAGUCACCAGUAUGCAGGUCCUCCUUCACCACUUCAGUUAUCGAAGAGAGGUUUGAGCAUCGGCCUGGGGACUAUUGUGCAUAGAGCAGCUUCUGCUGCUUCUGAGUUGGCCAAGCAUGCUUAUGGCGGUACCAACAGGAAUUCUGAUUUAGAACUUUUGCCCCUCAAGUGCUGCUUGAUGUCCAUCUCUUUACCUUGGGAAGUUAUUGCACACGACCUUUUGUUCAAGGUGAGUUCUCCGGUGUUGAUACAUAUAACUGAGACCUAUCAUGGUGAAUGUCAAGAAGUGAUUUGCUGGUGUCAGUAUGCUACUCUGUGCUAGCUUGGGUGAUUAAUUACAGUAAUUUUAUUUUCUCCUUAUAAAUUAGGACAUUGCAGUAUGAAGCAUAGAUUGCCAGCAUACCAUUCUGAUACAAAUGUAUCCACAAGUAUAGGUUGUUUAAAGAUGAUGGCGAUAAUUUCCAGAUUCAAUAUGAUGAGCCUAUAAUUAUCUAAAUAACCCCCUAUAAGCUCUUACAGGUAGGGGGAUAGCAUCGUCUACUUCCUGCCUGAUUUUUGGUUUGGCUUUCAGCAUAAUAAUGGAAAACUAUUUCGUACUCUGGGAGUAACCUAAGAGCAAUGCUUUGGACACUCACAAAAGAACCAGAAAUCUCAUCCAAAAUAAGGAGUCCAGCUGGAGCAUGAUUUCAUGGACCUGAGCUGUGAGGGUGUUACACCAAAAGUGGCUCAGUAGUGUGUACGCCCUUUUUUGCUGGGGUGCAUGGCAUCACCCACCAGAUGGAUUCCUUAUUUUCAUAUGAGGGAUGUCUGCUUUUCGCUCCUUUAUCAGUGUCUAAACAUUUCUCACAUAAAUUUAUCAUACUUCCUGUAUUCCUUUAUCCUUCCAAUUGUCAUGGCCUUUCUUUUCCUAAUAUAUUUGUGGCUAUACGUACAAAGUUUCCCUGCUUGACCCAGUUUCCCAAAUAAUCAGUGUUCUCAGGUGCCACUUCACUGGGUCAAGCAUUGUAUUGUGGAUGGCUUUUGUUUGCAACUUUUGGCCAGUUUUUGGCCUUUUGUUUUAGCCUCCGUAUAUGAUGCAUGCAACUAGCAAAGCUGUUUAACCAGUUAUAUCGGUUGCUACUUGAACAGAUGAGGUUGCUCUGGCCUGUACGGGAGCAUAGAAAUUUCAGUUUUCUGAAGUGCAUUUUUUAUUUAUGCAAGUAUUUGUGGAAAUAUGACUAUGCAUGAAUCCAUGUCAUUCUCACAAUCGAGUGACUAGCAGAUGCCAUCUGUUGAUCAACAUUUUGCUGUGAUAGGUUUUGCAUUACAUCAAUCUCAUCUUAAUACAACUGUCAGAAAGACUGUGUUAGAUAACUUUUAGUGUUAGGUUUUAUUUCAGAGGCUGUAUGGUAAAUUUGCUAGUUGCUUUUCUUCUCAGGCAAGCCCUCCGGUGAGUCUCUGAUGGUCUUCACUAUUGUUGCUGGAAUCUUGGUGUUCUGAUAGCAGCCAAGCAGGAGCAGCAAGUUGCCAAUAACCCAUGACUUCAGGAAGAUACCGGUGCUAUAAAAACAACAAUACAAUUUAUGUAUACCAACUCACUUCUGUGCCCUUUGUCUUGAUUUCCAUUUGCUUUAUUUAUUGAAACAGCUUCAGUCAAUAAUAGCCUUAAGGGCGUUUACCUUCUCUUACAUGAAUGCUUUGGAAAACAGCAGAUCAUAUGCAGUUUUUCACUACUCACUUAUCCUGAAUGUAGCGACCAAAAGGCAGAUUAUGCAGAUCUGGGGUAUAGUUUUCACUCAAGAAAAGAAUGCAGAAAGGCCUCUUUGUUGAUCUCUUUUGUGUACCUUUGCUUUCAAUCUUUGUGAUGAUGAAAAGUUUUUUCUUAUAGUAUAUGGUUUUGAUCAUCGAUUAUUGAUCUUUGGUCCCACAAGAAAGCUCAGAAAAGUUCAUGGUCUAGUAGGCGGUCAUGAACUGUGUAAGUGCAGCAAUCAAGCUUGUGAAUCUUGCUUUAGGUUCAUGCAUUUCAAUGGAUUGCUUCGAGCUCUGGAUGUUUUGAUGAAAUAAAAUAUAAAAAAAAGUGAAAGGACAUGACUGUGUAUACCAAUUAGAAGAGAACUUUUGUCAUGGAAGGACUUGUAAAUGGCUGGGCAAGAUUGACGUGAAUGUUGCAGCAUCUUUAAGCAGCAAUUGUUUAGGUUGACAUCCCCAUGUGGCAGGUUGGCAGCCUCCUAAUGUUGAUUGAUAUAGAAUCUCAUAGUUGAUGGGACUCAAAAGUUGGUAACUAUUCGAAAUCUUCCGCAUGAUAACCCAUCCGAGAUUCCAUUAAUGCCUGAAUCUGCUAAAUAAUUUCUCAUGCUGGAUUAUUUCUUGUUUAGAGAAUAUAUAAACACUUCAGGACGUCAUAUUAUGACAUGGCUUGUUGCCAAAGCGGUUACAUCUGAUUUUGACUUUUCAAAUGAGCACGAUUCUUCUUGCAAUUGGAGCGAGUGCCCCAGUUUGUAUCUAACAGUUGCGAGACACACCAUCGCUUAUUACAUGAUUCAUUAUGGGAGUCUCCGAGCAACGGUUGGAACCAUAAAUUCGUUAUUGUUUAAUUGUGAAGUCCCAUUUAUAAAUUCAAAAUCCUCCUUCAGGUGGUACUGCAAGAACCUGUAGGCCAGCUAGCAGCUCCAGUCCAUGUAAUCUACUGCUACACCAAACCGAACCAAACUGUCAGAUGACUCAUGACUCAGCCACAGUAAUCGAAUGGAUUUAGGGCUGUCACAGUGUUGAUGGGCAACACCUGCUGCUUCGGGACAUAUGCAGAACUUCGAAGGAGCUCGACGCUUUUCGGGCCACGCAUGUCUUCUAAAAAGCGAAUAGAGCUGUUGACUGAGUUACGUCCUUUGCCGCGCAUCACUCGGAAAGUUUCCUUUGAGAGAGCAUUGAGGCCAUUCAUCUCACUUUGCGUCAACUUCUUUUUUCAGAUUGUUCUAGGUGUACUCAUGCUCGUCUGGUAUGAGUCGUCGGCGAAUAAAAAAAACAACAAACUGCCGGUAUUUCUACAGGGAAGGAACGGGAAAUCCCUACCUCUUUACACCAAACUGAACCAAACCGCCGGUCUAUCUACGGGGAAAGAACAAGAAAUCCCUACUUCCUUGCACCAACUGAACCAAACCGACCGCCAGUCUUUCUACGGGGAAGGAACAGGAAAUCCCUACCUCCUAGUUAAAGCUAGCAUUGACGACGCUGGACCAAAACAACCUCCCAACCUCACCAAAAGGAAUCCUACACUAAGAAACCCAUGCUUUUAUAUCCCCUCGAUUUCAAACAGAAGUGACCACUUUCCCUUUCCCAACUCCAAAACAACGGGCUUUAUCCUUGGUAUCCGAACACACCAUGUGUUUUCUGCCCUUUGUUGAGGUAGGCUCUCUUUUGGACCCAUAUACACGUGGGCCAUCCUUUUUUACCCAGGAAGCCAUUUUCCCUUAGAUUCCCGUAAAAUCCUGAAAGCCAUAAAGCCCAUAAAGCUGGUGGGAACAAGCCAUUUCUUUGAAACAUGAUUCCCACUCUUUGGAGGUGGUCUAAAAGCUUUUGUGAGAACUUUUGUUAGGGCUGAGGAUGAUACUUGGCCAUUCUUUAGUUCAUCGGAUAUCGACCAAGGACAAGCUCCAACUAAGAACGUAUCUUUAGCCUAGAAUUAGACGCUUGGCAAGAGCGGGACAGGUGGAUCUCCAGGUGGCUAACAUGUAUUUGAGAGAGAAAGGGAAGGCAAAAGCAGCAGUCUUAGCAUUUUAAAGCAGGCCGACCCACCUCCUCCAAUGUUUUCCCGACCACUGCAAGUCUUCAAAGACCUAGGAGAGAAAGGUGAGGCCAUUGGAAAAAAAGUGACUAGCUUCUGAGGCCCGACUAAAUCUUUUCAUAUGGAUCUCGUGCCAACCACCCGUUUCCGUCCCACUCCUUCCCUCAUUUUUUCCAAAUGGCACGGUAUUAAUUAAUACCUCGCCAUCAAGCAUCCAUGGAAUAAUGUACUUGAUGGAUCAAAAUAUGAGAGGCCCUUCAGAACUUCACGGUAGCUUGCCAUAUAUGGUCCCCAUCAGAGUGAGAUUGGGUUAACUUGGGAGCUGUCAGACGAGUGCUUCGGCACUAACUUAAAAUAAGACCAUGUCAUUCCCGUGUUUUGUAGUGAUAUAUUACGUGUGGAUAUAUACAUACAUGCAUGCAUAUAUAUAUAUAUAUAUAGAGAGAGAGAGAGAGAGAGAGAGAGAGUNNNNNNNNNNNNNNNNNNNNNNNNNNNNNNNNNNNNNNNNNNNNNNNNNNNNNNNNNNNNNNNNNNNNNNNNNNNNNNNNNNNNNNNNNNNNNNNNNNNNNNNNNNNNNNNNNNNNNNNNNNNNNNNNNNNNNNNNNNNNNNNNNNNNNNNNNNNNNNNNNNNNNNNNNNNNNNNNNNNNNNNNNNNNNNNNNNNNNNNNNNNNNNNNNNNNNNNNNNNNNNNNNNNNNNNNNNNNNNNNNNNNNNNNNNNNNNNNNNNNNNNNNNNNNNNNNNNNNNNNNNNNNNNNNNNNNNNNNNNNNNNNNNNNNNNNNNNNNNNNNNNNNNNNNNNNNNNNNNNNNNNNNNNNNNNNNNNNNNNNNNNNNNNNNNNNNNNNNNNNNNNNNNNNNNNNNNNNNNNNNNNNNNNNNNNNNNNNNNNNNNNNNNNNNNNNNNNNNNNNNNNNNNNNNNNNNNNNNNNNNNNNNNNNNNNNNNNNNNNNNNNNNNNNNNNNNNNNNNNNNNNNNNNNNNNNNNNNNNNNNNNNNNNNNNNNNNNNNNNNNNNNNNNNNNNNNNNNNNNNNNNNNNNNNNNNNNNNNNNNNNNNNNNNNNNNNGUACUAUAUAUAUAUAUAUAUAUAUAUAUUGAGGGCUUCAUAAAAUUGUUGAGAGAGUGACUUUAUAAUGGUUAUUAGAUGGCUUUGUGAUCUAUCUCUUGCCGAUGGUAGUUUGAUCCAUAAUUACAUAUUUGUUAGAGAAUAAUGCGCUCAUUACUCACUAUUGAUGUCUCUCAUAUUUAUAGAGAGGCUAAUCGUGCUUUUCAUUAGAUAGUAUCUUACGCAACUAUAAACUAACCAUAAGAAACAACACUGUGAGUUUCUUCGGUUGAUUUUUCUGUUCAGUUUAAAUAUUUUAGCUGCAGAUUCUCAUGAAUGUAUCUGUUAGCAUUUACUUUAAUUAAUGCAUCCAAUUUAUCAAAAUGAACGGCCUUACUUUAAUAAUAAUAAUAAUAUAAUGCCUCCAUGAUUCUUUUAAUAUUAUUACAUUCCAAUAGACUAAGCGAGGGGAGCAUUAGCCUUGGCAAGGUCUAUGAUGUAUGAUCCAUUAUCAUAGCACCAACCAAACAUGGGAUUCACUUCAUUUGACCAUGUUAUAUGGGGCACAAUAUUCAUGCCUCACUGUAGUUAUGUGGGCCCAACCUUCACAUUGGGUCGAUCUAUCAUAAAACAGACAUAUUCAGAUCCUCAAAAAAUAGUUGACUUAAAUAAAUUCUGACCUAAGGGUAGCAAUCAAGCCAGAUCGGAUUAUAUAUGGAUCGAGUUAAAUGCAAGUUGGAUCAAAAAGUUCCAAAUCUGAACCGAACCUAUUUAUUAGAUAGGUUAGAAUUUGAAACCUGAACUUACUAUUUUAAUAAACAGGCAAUCCAGCAUAAUUUAUUUAACUUGUUUAAUAAACAAAUAACCUGCCUAAUCUAUUAAUCUGUAUAACCUCUUAGCUUGUAUAACCUUUAUAAUCUAUUGAUGUGUUGACCUAUUAACUUGUUUAAUAAACAUGUAACUUGCUUAACCCGAUCAAAUUUAGUUAUUAAACGGAUUAAACAUCUUAUAUGGGUCAGGAGGCUAGAACUUGAACCUGAUUCAAUUAUUUAAGAGUUUAAAUGGGUCAAUUUAUUUACAACCUGAACUUAUUUGGCUCAAACCCAAACCCACUUAUUGUAUCUUAAAUAUAGAUUGGAUCAUAUUUUGCUAGUUUUACUAUAAUCUUAGGGCUGCUACAUAAAAUGAUUUAAGUGUCCGCAAAUGGCCCAAUAUUAUUAUUCUCAAGAUGGCCUAACUCACAUGGCGACUCUAGAUUGACCAACCAACGAGUGACGUGCUGAAACAUCACUUCUCUAUUGGGUUUUUUUUUUUUUUUUUGUACAAGUAAAACUGAUGAAUUAAAUUAUUCACAUACAGGUACAUCGGUGAAGCCAGAGAAAUAAAAUAUUUAAAAAUUAAAAGCUCAUUUUUUUUCUUUGAAAAAAAUAGAAAUACACACUUCAAUUAAAAAACCAUGUUUAGUUGCCCUAUUUCUAUUUUUAUUUUUUUUAAAACAACUUCCAUUAUUUAUGCAAAAAGUAAAAUAAAAAUUUUACUUUCAUUUUUUUUAAAAAAUGAAUUCCACUCUUCUCCCUCCAGCCCCUCUUCUUCCGCACCUAAUUUAGCCCUAUUGCUCUCGUCCAACUACAUCGAUUCCUCAAGUCUCGCUGGCCAUCUCUUGAUCCGAUGUCAAGCUAUCUCUCACAUUCGACUUCUCUUCAUUUUUUUUUUAUCUAUCUUUCUUUUGACUGUCUCUUCGCCUGGUAUUGGGCUUUUCUUUAUUUUUGACCACAUCUUUAGCCCUAUCAUCCCUUCCUUCCCCUCACCCAUAUUAUCGCUCCUGCCAUAAAUAAAAAAAAUAAACCAAAUAUAUAUACUGUUACCAAAAAUUUAAAAAAAUAGAAAUAAAAUCUCUAUUUAAAAAAUUAGAAAUAAGAUUCUUAUUUUCAUAUUCUUUUUUGAAAAAUAGACAACAUACGCAGCCUAAAGGAGAAGAUCGAAUCCUUUAAAUGAAAAAAAAAUAAAUAAACUGGAAAACACCACGCCCUUUGGCUCUUUUUCUUAGCCACGAAGCUAAUAUUCUCGUGCUGGGUCACACCAACCCUCAAAAGAAGACGAGAGUCGAAAAAGAUUUUCUAUUGUAUUCCUCGGAUACAGUAUUUCUCUAAGAACAGCCGGGACAACGUUAAUUUUAUCUCAGCCGUUCAUGUUCCAGAAGUUCUCACUUACAGAGGGCUACGAUAGGCGAAACGGUUGCUAUGCUGUUUGGAAGCAAACAGCGGUUCAGCUUCCACCUAGUUGCUAGUGCACACUGACUCAAGCGGGACCCGCAGGAUACGGGCAUCGGGGCUCCCCUUGAUGACACGUGGAUAUCCUGUGCUGCUAUGUGGGCCCCGCCCUACACCGAACUCCGUCCAUAAAUACAUCUCCCCUCCACCGCUAUUCUUCCCUUUCCCCCCGCUCCCUCCCUCCUCUAUUUGCUUCAACACCGGUCCAUUUUAUCGGCUCGGUACGGUUCUUUUCGGUACCGUCCGGUCCGUCACCAUGUUCGCCCUCGAAGAAGCCCUCGACUUCCCGCUCCUCGAACAAGUCCUCGACGGUGAUUUGGGGUUCACCCCGUGGGAAACCCAGCCGACCCCGGCUCAGGAAACGUCUGCCCAGACCGGCCCUAAACCCGGACCGGACGAACCGGACCGGCCUCUGUCCCUGGCAGAGGAAAGACGCCGCCGGCGGAUGAUCUCGAACCGGGAGUCGGCCCGGAGGUCCCGGAUGCGGAAGCAGCGCUACCUGGAGGAGCUCCGGGCCGAGGUGAACCAGCUCCAGUCGGAGAACCGGGCCCUCGAGAACCGGCUUGGCGCCCUCGUCCGCUGCUGCCUUCUCUUCCGCCGCGACAAUGACCGGCUCCAGUCCGAGUCGGCCGCGCUCCACCGCCGGAUAUCGGGGCUCCACCGUAUCCUACUCCUCCGCCGGCAGCUCCACCGCCUGUCGUCGCCUGCCUCCGCCGCCGUCUGCGGCGGCUUCGCCCCGGGAACCGACCAGACCGUUGCGUCGCUAAUCGUAUAAAACGCUAAAAAAAAAUCGGGAAAGGAAUUCGUUAACGAGGAAACGGCCAAACCGGACUGCUGGACUGGAGACAUAUAAAACCGCUAGUGUUCUGGUUUUGGUCAUUUAACGUCGGAAAAGUAUCGUCUGCUUUCCGUUUUUCCUUUUUUUUGGGUCUUUUUAUUUUUUCACUCUUUUUUUUUGGUUAAAAUCGGUCUGUGUAUAAAGCUUGGGUACCAUUGGGCUGUUUUAUUCGCUCAGACGUUUUGUUCCAAUGUGUUCUAAAAACGCCUUUUUGGCAUCCACAACCUUCUCGAAGAAAAACACGACGAGAAUGACAUCGUCAUCCUGGAAAAUUGAACUAGUGGAGGUGCAUUUACCUGGAACUUGGGGUCUUGGGGGAGAUGGUGGGCUACUUUUGGGUCCACUGAAAUUAAAUUACUGACUCUUAGUUUUGGACGACAUGAAGGACGUAUCACCAGUUCUUUGGACGUGUUUUAUAGCUGCCUCUCACUCCUACGCCAUAUACUUUUCAUCAACUUUAUUGGUUGCACUUAUUCUAGGGCAGUGUGAACAUCCGUUAAUAAAAAAAAAAAAAAAUCAUACAUGAUGCCUUAGUGCAUAUGGGCCCCACUUCUGCUGUUAUGUGCCACGGUGGUUUGGCCCUUUGUUGUCAUAAUUAGGUUCCAUGUCUUUGGUCAGGAUGUUACUGCUUUCGUUGAGCUGUUGUGCCAUAAAGUUGGUAGAAUUGCAAAGAAAUUUCUGAGUAGGCCAAUUAGUUUAUCAUGUUGCUGUCUUCUUGUCGACCCAUCCCGGGCACUUGUGCAGAGAAUCAUGGCGGAGAUGAAGGUGAUGAUGGGAUGUGCUUGACUAGGCAACGAGAAAGUAGGUCUGGAGCUGCAUGGAAAUGGAAGUUAUAACAAUCUACAGCACACAGCCUUGUGCUCAGUGACAUAUCUACUGCACCAGAAGUGUUCAUGUAGACUACAGAGAGGCAACCUUUUUUUUUGUGCAUGGUUUGUAGGCCAUACACGUUCUCUGAAAUCUCAAACUAAGUAUUUGUUUGUAAUAUAAUCCGAGAACAUUCAAAUAACUAGGCACCUAAAAAUAGGAUGACAUCUCUUCUUCAUAUCUCCAUGCUUAUGUUCUGUCAUGGCUGAAAACAAUACCAUCAUGAAAGCAAAUCGGCCAGGGUUUGCAGCUUAAGAGGUAACAUAUGGCUUUGAUGGCAUCAGAACAGUGAAAGGAAAAUAUAAGCUCCGCCUUCGCCUUGCCUUGAUAUAUUUGCAACAAGAUUCCGAUGGCUGUUAUAUUUUGUUUUCCUUUUUUAUUUUGGUUUUAUCAAGAGUGUUAAAAUCAUAUGAUUGAUUAAGAUCAUGAUUGAUUAUGCCAAACUUAGUUGGCCUCACUAAAUUUCAUCUUGAUUGAUUUAUGAUUGAUUGUGCCAAACUUAGUUGGCUUUACCAAAUUUCGCCAGCUUCCUAGUCUAUAUAAAGGCUGCUCCUGUAUAUUGUAACAGACAUGCAGAAAUACAAUUCUCUUUUCUAAUUCUUCAAUUUCAACAAAGAGAACAUCUAGGUAUAGUCUCAUGAAAGAAAAAUAACUUGCUUAUACAUCUUUCGAACAUGAUUGUGAUAGAAACAAAAAACUUAUAUUUUGUUGGUAUCUUUCUUGUGCAUCAUGCGAACAUAAAAUGGAUAGUUUUCAUUGUACUAAUGCGCUAAAAUACUUGAUAAAGCAUUUAAAUUAAGAUUUCAUCUUAUUGAUCAUGAUUUACAUAUAUUAAAAUCUAAAUAGAUUCAAUAGCUUCUUAUGCUUAGAUCAUCGCAAAAUAUGGUUUUAUAUAUAAUUUUAAUCAUUCAUAGUUGCACCCACAUGAUGUAUAUUUUAGAGACCAUCAAAGUAUAUUAUUUUUUUUAUUUUUAGGUAUUUUUAGAUAUACAAAUUAUGAUCGAUGGUGUAGAUCUUCAAUUUGAAUGUCCUAUCUUUAAUUUUGGAGUAGAGAGAGGUUAAUACUCCCUCCUCUCGAGAUGAAUAUAAUCUAUCUAUAAUUAGUUGGCAGGCUUGGAACAAAAUUGGAAUAUUGGAAAAUAGAAAGAUAUUUACAUCAAAUGUGGUCAGUCUAUUAAAAAAAUGAGCACGAGGUAACAUUCAUACAUGACAUGGGCUGAAAUUGAGGCUUUCCAUUAGUCAAAGUGGGCAUUAUAGCGCUUUUGUAUUCAUGUUUUCCGUCUUAUAUGUCCAUUACUCUCACUUUAUAGCUUAUAUAUAGCAUGCGUAAAACUCAAAGCAACAAAGAUUGCAUAUGUAGUUUGCCAACCACCAAAAAAAAAAAGAAGCAUAUACCACUCGCACCCUUUAUUCUUGCUGACCAAUGGAGCUUGCCUAUAUUUUUUUUCCCCUUCUUUUGCAUAUGAUUAACAGACUCAUAAUUAAGCCUCAGAAAUUAAUCAAUGGAACCUAACAUAAUCCACCAUCCACUUAAGAAGAUACUUUUAAAUUUGUUUCUUGCACCAACAUUAUUUUCGUGAAUUAGUGCCGUUUUAGCUUUCAUAUAAGGCAUAUAAAACAGUCAUGUCGAUGUGCUAUGGGGAGGAGGCACCGCCAGUCAUAAUCGCAUCAUUUAAAACUACGAAUGGAACAUAGAUGUGGGUGCAAAUGUUUAAGCCUUGGGACGGUGAUUUGAUUGUCCUUUUCGGCUAAAAAAGCGGUGCUUAAAUAAACCAUGAAGGACAGUUCUUUUAAUGGGUGGAGUCUUGGAUGCAAUUAAGGGCAACAAAUGGAAACUCUUGGCAUAUUAGACAGCUUGGUUGAACUAAUCUGGUCUCUAACUGGUGUUUCCAAUGAUAAUGGGUGCCUGCUUUAAAUCUCCACAUUAGAUUCGGUGACGCCCUCAUUCUUUUUUUUCAAUCCCUGUCUUUAUGUAUGCCAGUAAAAGAAUCUAAACAAAAGAGUGACGUACGCCUUUCAUAUUUGAAAUUAGGUAGGAUGGGAUCUAGGAGAGGUAGCGAGUAAAGGUUUUGUCUAUGUAAGAAAUCUAAAUGGUAUCUGUGUCCCAAUAUCCAUGGAGAUGACUACUGGAUGGAAGGGUUGCUAUGCCCCUCAUCAGAUUCUUAUGAUCUAAGGAAUACGACUCGAAAACUUUAUUGAGACUUGAGAUCUAAGAAUGUGGUCUGAGUUACAUCAUGUGGUCUGAGUAUUCUAAUCUUUUCGUUAUCAAAAAGUAAGGAGCAUAGAUUUAAUGAAAGAACAAAGAACAAAGAACAAAAAUGAGAUCUGACCAGCCAUGCCCAUGAGACCCAUCAAGUUUAUAUCAUAUUAACCAUAUGAUGAUAAUCUACAUCUGAUUAUAAACUAUAUAGAUGUUAUAGUCUUGCUCUCGGAUGACAUCCUCCUAUCAUCUUCAUAUAAUUUCACCAUUUUAUCUGUUAAAAAAUUUACACAUGCUCUUGGUUUUUUUUUUCCCUCUCUCUUUUGGUAAAGACACAUGAACUUUUAGAAAGAGUGCUUAAUUAACUGUUUGGUAGUCCAACGAAAACUGAAAAAUAUAGACAAACACACUUGACACAAAGUUUGAUUUAAUUGCUCAAUUACCAACAUCUACCAAAGAUCCUCUCAACCUCUUAGAUUUCACUUGUUUGUGAAUUGUGAUAGAUGCCUUCAUCUUGAGUGUUCUUUGUGUUCAUUCGCUAUCCAUACCAUCAUCAGUUUAUUAAGACAUGAGGUGAUUAAGACUUUAAAUAAGAUUGUGUUAGGUGUAUUAGAUGAUAAGGAAAAUGAAAAAAUUCGCAAUGUUAAAUUUUUUAACUGCACAUUUGUUUUUGAGUAACGAAGCACUAGAAACAAUCAUUUUUUUUUUUUUGGUUCAAAACGGUAUUUCAUUUCAAGUACCUCUAACGUGAAUACAACCUGCCAUAUCAAAGGAAACUAAACAAAAUAAGGAGUGUGGGAUGCACUCUAAGCUAGUCCAGAGAGACUCCCCCGAGUGCCGAGCGACAUAGGAGGCGACCCAGUCUGCUGCACUGUUCGCCUCCCGAUAUACAUGAGAAAUCUGACAGAAGGUCAGCUCCCGCACCAAUCUACGCGUAUCCCGUAUCAGGGGGUGGCCAUCCCCAUAUGUAUCAAUACCUCGUAUCCAAUCAAUCACCGUGGAUGAAUCACCCUCGAGGCAGAGGCAAUCGGCCCCCAACACCCGUCUCGCGUACAAAAUGCCCUCCCAGGCUGCCCGCAUCUCCGCUCCCACGACAGUCGUGCCCGGUGUACUCCGUCCUCCAGCAGCUACAAGACUGCCUACAUGAUCCCUGAUCACAAAGCCCACGCCCCCGGAGGCGCCAUCCUCUGCCAUGCCACCAUCGAAAUUCACCUUAAGAUAACCAGGGGGUGGGGGUACCCAAGAAAAACAUCGAAACCUGGACGCUGAGACAGCAAUACAGGUACCCCAGAUGUCCCUGGCCCUCUCAGGUGGAUACGAUGAGGCCAUCAUAGAUGCCUCCGCCGCCUGCCGUAGAGCUCUCUCAAUCACAACUCGAGGAGAGGAUCGCCCGCCCUCGAACACAUGAUCGUUCCUAUCCAACCAAAUAUGAUAGGCUAAGUAAGCCACUAUAGUACCUGUCUCAGUAGAGCUCGGUCUCCGCGUAGACUCACGCAGGUACCCAAGCAUAUCCUCCAACGUCUCCCACAGCGGAGGAAGCAGCGCAGAUGUACGUCUCCAACACUGCAGGGCGAUAGGGCAUCGAAGCAGUACAUGGCUAAUAGUCUCCUCAGCAUCCAGGCACCUCUCGCACUGUAGAUCCAAUCUCAUCCCCCGCCUAACCAAAACGCUCCUGGUCGGAAGGCAGCCCCAGGCCACCUUCCAAAGAAAGAGCCCCAGGCCCCUGGUCGGAAGCACUAGAAACAAUCAUUGCUGGCCACUAAUUCCAACCAUGAAGGCAUUUAUUCAUAAAUUUCUCACCGAAAAAAAACACAAAUAGGGUUAUACACAGGUUAAUGCUUGCAACCAUAUAAUUUUAGGAAGAGGUUCUGCUCAUGCUACUCGACAUGAUUCUCCAUUUUUUGGUAUGAAUUUUUUCCCACUAUUUCUAUGAAAUAUUUUUAUGCUGAGAAGAUAAUUGCUAAUCUUCUAGCCAAGAAAUUGUGGCUAAGGCCUUGUUUGUAACACAUCAUAUUAUUCAAACAGUUGAGAAAAGCAAAGCCAAUGACUCGAGAGAGGAAAAACGAUAGCUUUUUUUUUUUUUUUGGUCAAAUCGGCGUCUCACUUACAGUGCGAGUACGCCCCGAACAGUCAAAAAAGAAAAAAAAAAUGAUAGCUUUUAUAGAUCAGUUUGGCUUUAUGUUGGUUUACAGAAGAUGCAUUUAUAAAAUUUCUACAAUUAUAUGUAAAAUUUAAGCUAGACAUUGAAAUUCAAGCAAGAUAUUUUUGUACCCCUCCAAACCUCUCUUCCCUGCCCAGUCAAACCAUCUAUGCCUGCAAAUACAAUCUUUUCCAACAUUUUAACUGGAUGAUUUAUUGGGCCCUGGCUUGAAUAAUCCCCGGUGCAGACACUGUCCUAUCAUAAUCCCUCCUCCGCUAACCUUUUUAGGGUUGUAAUUGGAUUGGUCAUCCCAUGACUUGACUUAGUCCCGACCCAAUCUUAAUUUUAGAUUAGGUCUUGUAUUUUUCAACCUAUUUUGUUCCAAUUCAUCCGGAUCCAAAAAAUCUGGAUAAUAUAAGUUCUUUCACAUUCGCUUGAAUUCUCUAAAUAUCUUUUCCAAUUUAUUUAAUAAACUCCCAUCUAAACAAAGUCUUUUUUUUUUCCUCAACAACUACAUCUUCUCUCAUCUAUUUCCAAUUUCUUAUUAUUUGUUUUGAUGGAUUAUUAUUUAUAAUACCCUCAAGCACAUCAAUGUAUAAAAAAUUAUAGUUUGUAAACUAAAAAAUAAUCAAUGACCUAAAUAAAAUUAAAAUUUUUUGAAUGAAAAUUCAAAUUUAAGCCGCUUCUUUUUAAUUUUAUUUGUUUUUUAUAAUUUUAAUUAAUUAUCUAUUAUUAUAUUUUGGCUAUGAAAAAGUAGCUAAAUGUUUGACUCAACUUGCACAACCUUAUCCGAUCCCAACUGAACUCGAACAUUUCUGUUUGGGUUUGUAUAAUAAUUAUAACAACCGAAGACCUCACCCAACAUGGCUAGCCGGAAGGUAUUAUUUGGAUUUCUUUAUCCUGUACAAGUACCCAAAAUCUACCUAGCAAAUAAUCAAUGUGGAACUAAAUACAUGUCCGUAUGGGUCCUCGUAUACUUUCCCGUUCAAGCUCUGACAUCCUCGUUUGAUUAAAAGUUCAAAUUCAUUCAAAUCUAAUCACAAAUACCAAGAUCAGCUCGUGGUCAGUCCCAAUAGAUCCGCGCAGCUAUGUCCCCUAGUCCACAUAGGUUAUGGGUCGGGUUGGCUCUGAUACCAUUUGUAACAAUCGAGGACUUCAUCCAAAAUGGCUAGCCGAAAAGUAUUAUUUGAGUUACUUGAUCUUGUAUAAGUAUCCAAGAUCUAUCCAUCGAAUAAUCAAUAUGGGACUAAAUACACGUCCGCACAGAUCGUGAUAAUAAUAGUCCCUGCUCUGACAUAAAUAGUCUGUCGGAUUUUUUUUUUCUUGGAUUCAAUCAAAUUUGACUUGAUCAGCUAAUAAGUUGGAUUCGAUUUUCAGCUAGGAUCCAGCGUGCUCCCGUCCAGCCCAACCCGUUGGCAGCUUUUUAAACCUUUCGCACCACUACUUCAUUCACCACUCUACCAGCGGUUUCCCGACCCAAAAACCAAACUCAAAAAUCCCGCCUCUCUCGUCCCUCGACANNNNNNNNNNNNNNNNNNNNNNNNNNNNNNNNNNNNNNNNNNNNNNNNNNNNNNNNNNNNNNNNNNNNNNNNNNNNNNNNNNNNNNNNNNNNNNNNNNNNNNNNNNNNNNNNNNNNNNNNNNNNNNNNNNNNNUCCACCUCCUCGACGCACCCCCACUCUCCGGCGUCUCCUUCGCCUUCGGUACUUCUUCUUCCCGCCCGCCAAUCUCCCUCCUCCUAACCCUAACCCUAAUCCCGAUCUCCUUCUCCUCUUAGAUCACGUCUUCGAUCAGAGCUCCACCAACGCCACCGUCUACGAUCUCCUCAUCAAAUCCAUCAUCCACGCCGCUGUCAAUGGAUUCAACGGUAAAAGUGCUCCAGUUCCUCUUUAUCCCCAAGAUAUAAGCUCGAUUGGUUUCUGACUAAUCCUGUCCUGCUACUUGUUAUCCCGAAGGCACUGCUUUUGCCUACGGGCAGACCAGCAGCGGCAAGACGUUCACCAUGAACGGCUCCGAAGAUGACCCCGGAAUAAUCCCUCUCGCCGUCAAAGACAUCUUCCACACCGCCCAGAUGGUAUAUGAUUGACUUUGGUUUUUCUAAUUAGCUUGGAUUUUUGGUUGUGUGUAUGAGUUUUACCUUUUUGGCGUGAACAUUGGAAGCAGACCACGGAUCGGGAGUUCUUGAUUAGGGUCUCGUACAUGGAGAUCUACAAUGAGGAGAUCAAUGAUCUCUUGACGCUGGGGAACCAGAAGCUUCCGAUUCAUGAGAGCUUGGAGGUAAGAUGAUAUUAAUACCAAGAUUUCAGAGAGGUUUUUUUUUUCCAUUUAAAAGAAGAGGAGAAUUUGGAGAGGUUUACGGGUUUGUUAUUGUAAAUUUGUCUAAUUUUGUUGUAAAUGUAGCGUGGGAUUUUUGUAGCGGGUCUCCGCGAGGAGAUUGUGAACAGUGCGGAGCAAGUAUUUGAGCUUAUCAAACUAGGAGAAGGUCUAACUAGUCAUGUUUUUGAAUUCUACCCUAAGUCCUUUUUUUUCUGAAAUAAGUAAUGAGAAAUGCUACCUUUUUUUGGAUAUAGCAAAUCGGCAUUUUGGGGAAACCAACAUGAAUGUGAGAAGCAGUAGAUCACAUACCAUAUUUAGGAUGGUAUAUCGCUCUAAAUCCUGUUUUGUUUUUCCUUUUAACUUUCUUCUUUCAUGCUAUUCUUUACAAUUUUAUUUCAAAAUCAAUAAUAUAUUUUCUAAUAAUUUUAGGUAAUUGAGAGCAGUGUGAAAGAUCCCAUUUCUUCUGGUGAUGUUUCUAAUGCAGAUGCAAUCCGUGUAUCUGUCUUGGUCUGUAACUUCAGCAUCAAAUCAACUUUAUUACCUAGACUGCUUAUAGAGCAGUGUCACAAAUAAGUUUGUUAUUUUCUUAUGUUGUAGAACUUGGUAGAUUUAGCUGGAUCAGAGCGGAUAGCUAAGACAGGGGCUGGAGGAGUACGUUUGAAGGAAGGGAAGCACAUUAACAAGAGUUUAAUGAUUCUUGGUAAUGUGAUCAAUAAGCUGAGUGAAAAUGGAAAGCAAAGGUACCCAAUUAUCAUGUGAUCAGUUUGAUCAAUCUCUCUAUUCCAACUUUAUCUAAUUCCGCAUUUAAGUUCCCGCAACUUAGUUACUAAAUUUUACUUGAACAUUUAUAUAUAUCAUUUAAGCAGAAGAAACUAUUUUAUUGUAUGUUAACUAUAUCUAGGUUGCAAAUGAUUGUCUGUAAAUGAUUCCAAGUUUUAAAUUUCCCCACAACUUAAUUAUGUUGAAAUAUUUUCUAUUCUAUCAAGCAUUGUCAAAUGGACUUGGAUAUCACCAUACUUGGAAUUCUCCUGAAAUAGUGCCUUUACUUAUGAAAUAUCAUGAAAUUUUAGACUAUAUUAGAUCAUAUUAGAAACCUAGUUUUCUAAGAUGAGAACAAUGCUGAUGUAGGGGGCAUAUCCCAUAUCGUGAUAGCAAGCUGACUCGCAUUCUCCAACCUUCUCUUGGUGGUAAUGCCAAAACUUCUAUAAUCUGUACGGUUGCACCAGAGGAGGUAGACCUCUAGCAUAAUCAUCUGUUUCUUUUACUGAAUUAUGGUUGUCUGCCUUCUGUCAUUUACAAGUUCAAUUUAUAGGUUCACAUAGAGGAAAGUAGAGGAACCCUCCAGUUUGCAAGCGGAGCUAAACGCAUUACGAAUUGUGCUCAAGUAAAUGAGGUUGGUUCUGUGAUCCCUUUCACUCCGUAAUUCAUGACUUGUGCAACAGUUAGCAGGAGGCUUGAAAUCAGGGCUUUUAGUUAUUAUUUGGCACCUAAUUUUGAUAUUGGCAAACUUUUGUUUCUUACAUUUUAUUGGGUAAUAAUUGCAAUAGAUAAGAAAUCAUUGUCUUUGUAUCUAUGUGUGCUUGUGCAUCCAUUAGAGUCAGUGUUUAUCUUCAAACUCUCAGAUGCAAAUGAAUGUGGAUGUCUUGUUUACUAUUAGCCUCUCUUCUGGCCAAGAGCUUCUUUAUUACAUAAGGCAGCAUUUGGUUUAGGCAUGAAGUAGGCAUUGGGUUUGGAAUAAGUGUUAUGCUUACCAAACAACAUUUGGGAAGGAGGCAUAACCAAGACAUAGUUAUGCUGAUUAAACUUGCUUUACACAAGCAUAACUAUUCCAAGGAGGAGUUGUUGUAAACUCUUCCUUGGCAUAAAGGCACCUGAUACCUACUUUUUCACUUUGUUAUGUACAAAAGUUCAUAACUAAAACUUAUUCCAAAAGAUCUCUUUUGCUGUUCAAAAGUGUCACCAAAUAAAAACUAGCAUAACUCAUGUCAUAACUAUUCCAAUGGGUAUAAUUUUUUCUAUUCCUAUUUUUCUUAUUCCCAAACCAAAUGCAGCGUAAAGAAAUAAAUUUGUAUUUUAUUGUUGUUGUUGAUGCUUUAUUGAUUAUACAAAGGCAAGAACUUUUGCUACUCCAUGCCUGCCACUUGGUUUGUUCUAAUUAUUGCUGGUUACGUAAUAGAUUCUGACUGAUGCUGCACUGCUGAAGCGACAAAAACUAGAGAUUGAAGAGCUCCGCAGAAAACUUCAGGUGAUUUUUUUAGUAUAUCUCAGACUUGCCUGUUCAUAUCUUCAAGUGUAUUACUGAGAUCUUUCUACUUUCUUCUUUUCCAGGGAUCUCAUUCUGAGGUACUAGAACAAAUGAUCUUAAAGCAACGAAAUGACAUGCACAAGGUAGAUAUUUCUACCUUAUCAGAAGUUCCCAUAUGGUUUGCAAUUAUAAAACUUGUGUCAUUACCUUUAGCGACUAACAUGCUUUCUACUCUUUAUUUAUUUAUAUUUAUUCUGCAUCAGUCUGAAUUAGACCGUGAAAGGCUUGCAAUGGAGCUUGAGGAAGAAAGAAAAUCUCGUGAAGCAUUAGAGCAUUGCAUAAAGGAACAACAGAAGAAGAUAGACAAUCUUACUAGUCUUGCUAAUUCUUCCAGUCAAACUAGAAGUUCAGCCAAGGUAAAUAGGGAAUAUUUCUAGAACCAAUUGUAGGAUAUGCUCAUUAUGAGCUAGUAUAACACUACAAAGUCUUGUAGAAAUUACUUCAUUGAGUGAAAGCCAACAUCUCAAAUCAAUAGCCGCAAAUAAUAUGUUACAUAACUUUUGCAGCAGAUGGCGGACUUGAGAAACACAUCUGAUGAAGUAAUCAUGUCACAGGAAGAUGUCUUUAAAACACCUAAUUUCAAAGAAAAGCCAAAUGAUUUUGUUGUGAAAAGAUCAAACUGUUCAAGGGACCUUGAGUCUAGUCCGCCCCCUGAUAAUUUUGCAAACAUAGCUGAUGAAGACUUGUGGAUGCGUUUGAACAAAGGUUGCACCACUGAUCUUGAUAUGCUUCAAAUGACGCCUGAUAUGAAAUGUCAAUCCUACUUAUCAAGUGAUAUUUCAGUUGUAAGUUACCAAUCCUUCAUGAUUAUUUUUCUCUCAUACUCUUGUUUAUAUGAUUUUUCAUUUCGAUUCAAUAGAUGCUUUGAAGUGAGAUCAAAACUUCUGUUUUUCCUUUUUUCAUGUGAUAAACAUAAUAAUCACUUCUAUACAACCAUAUUGUAUAAUAGAAUUUGAUCGUACCAUUUUAGGCUUCGAAAACUCAGAUUGUCUGUUUAUUAGAUAUUGGUUAUUGCACAUUUUUGCUUAUAACUUGUGGAUUCACUCCAUAUUGUAAUCAGAUGGGGAAAUAAGUACUUUCCUACUAAGUUAUAUUAGUAUUCGAGGAUUCUCAUGCCAAUGGAACAGUGAUGAUACUCCUUUAAAAAGCCAUUUUAAGCAUUGUGAAAUGGUUGAAGAAAAGAGAGUUGGAUGAUACUUGAAUUGAAAUUUUCAGAAAUACAUGGUAGUGGAGGAAAAGUUAAGGGUCUUGUUGACAACUGAUUAACAAAUCAUAAACUGUGAUUCUGAUUCGGCAAGUCGGUAUGAUACUCGACAUCUGGUGACAGACUAUUGCAUAUUAUUGGGUUUCAUCAACUAUAUCAUGGAAGUCAAGGAAACAACAAAUUAUUGCAGAGUCUUCAGAUGAGUCCGGGUAGAGAUCCAUGGCAAACACUUCUUGCAAGGUGACAUGGUUGCUUUAUCUUGUUUCGAGGGGUUAACAAUCUGCAAGUUAUCCCAGCUUUGGUGAUUGUACAUUAAAAUCCUGAAAUUUCAUUAACAAAAUACUAAAAGAAUGUCUCAUAUUUGCUAGUUUAAGUUGGAUGCACUCUCGAGUACAUUAUGUUACAGGGUGGUUGAAGUAUAUGCGAGUCUAGAACUGCGACCAUUCACAAACUUAGAGUCAGGGUUGGUUCAUAACUUACCAAAUCACUCCCUUAUUUGGCACUGAUAAAACUUAUAGGACAGAUUGACUAGUGAAAGUUCUUUUUAUUUUUCAUGCUUCUCAAUAUUAUUGCCAAAAUGUUAUUUAAUAAUUAUUCAUACAACAGAGACUAGCUAAAAACUUGUACAUAUCAUGAGGCCUAGACCCACAAUCCUUGUGGUGUCUUCCAUGUAAAUUUCUACUUGUUUUCCAAAGGACUCUUGGUGCAUGUUGUAUGUUGACAUGGUGUUAAUUGAUGAGCCUAGAGAAACUAUAAAUAAUAACAAACAAAAUCAUGAGCAUUUAAAAAUAAGUUCUAAAAUCUCAUGUCAAAUUUGCAUGUAUGGCAUGGAAGUUUGACAUUGGUUUAUAAGAAAGGUGGAUCCUAGGGAGAAUGCUUUAUAUAGAAUUCUAACUUGGUGGGGGAAGUGAAAUUGCAUGGUUGGUGUUGUGUCAUUGUCGCCUAUUAAACAAGGUUAAAUAGUGAGAUUGCUAUGCGUUUUGGAUCAUGAUUACCAAUGAACCUAUUUUACCAAUAUUACAUAUACUUACAAAAUAUUUCUGAAACUAUUUUCUAAUGUUUUGUGAAUGUUCCCAAAUAAAUAUCUUAAUUAAUAAUUAUAAUAGAAGAUUUUUCUUAUAUAGAAGGUACUUGUUUCUAGUAAAAGCAAACAUGUUUUUUGUAACAAGGAAUUCUCAUUUCUAGAAUAGAAGGGUCACUCUAGUUUUCUUCUACAUCCUUUUAGGUUAGACAUAAGUAUCUCAAAAAGGCCAUGAAUUGAGAUGGGUUGCCCUACCAUGUGCAAGGUGGAGGUAAUAUUUGGAUGGGAGAUGAUUUGAGUUAAAUCACUAAUAAUGAUGGUACCUAAUAGGGUAGGCUUGCUCCCUACUAUCUGGCUUAAGAUUAAAAUAAAAUGACAGAAGUCAUCCUGCUGUUUAUUUGAGUGAUAAAUAUAGAGAGAAUUGUUUUUUCCUUUUCUUUAUUUUUUUUGUUUGAGAGAACAUAUACCUGCAGUGACCGAAGCAACCCUAUGAACCAUAAAAUAACAUCUUUAACUCUGUGCUUCAUUUUCCCUCUUUUUAAUUAAUAAGAUUAAAACGUUUGAGGUCGUCAAGUAGAUGAGUGUUGUGACCAUGAACUGAAAAAAUGCAGCAAGAUGAUAGUUUAGACUGUCAAUAUUUAGCUGCCAGAAUAUCAAACCAAGGGGUUUGAUUUGACCGUAUAUAGCAACAAAAAGCUGUGCAAAGUAGCGGAGCACGUAGGAAGCCUGAAAGAGGUCGUGUUGUAUGUCAGUAAGGAUGCCAGCUUUAAUCUAGGCAUUCUACAUCAUGCUCGUACUGUUGCUUAAAAUUAGAACCCCAACAGUCAGAAGGCUUUGAUUAGUUACAUUAGCAAUUGGAUCUAAGACAGAAACAUAAUUUGGGUAGUUGGCCCGAGUCAUUAAUUAAGCUUUCCAACACUUAAUUGAGGCACUACUAUGGAAAAUUGAUUGGAAUAGAUAGAAGGAAAAAACAUGUUUAACAGAUGCAUAAGAGGUGGUUACAUGACUGAAGACAUACGUGUUCUUGCAUAAAAGAGUUUUAUAACUGGAACCUUUUGCAUAGUAGAUUGCGCCCUCGGAAAACACAAUCAUGUGAGAUAAGUGUUUGCUUUCCUAUAGUACAAAGCAGGCUUAGCUAGAGAUGUGAGGUGAGAUGGUUAGGAGGCUAAAAGUAGUCUUUAUAACACAAAUAACACUGACAAUGAGAGUCGGUGAUUUAAAGUUAAUAAUAUGCAUAUGUAUGACAAGAACCAUAGCUUAAUACUAGAGCAGAUUAGAGGCAGGGAGGUGCCUCACCAAUGCUAGUUUUCGCAUGAAUCUGUAUCUAAAUAAUUCUUACAUCUUAAUUUUUUAGCUUCUCUCUUUCAAAAUAUCCAUGCUCUUUUUUAUUGACAAAUUCUCUACUUAUCUUCCAAUUGAAAUUUUUGCCUAUAGCCACAUUAUUCAAAGCAUGGUAAUAACCAAUAAACCAAGUUUGAACACGAUCCUAAAAGCAUCUUGCAAUAUAAAGAUAAUAUGUUAAAACCAUAGUAAAAUCUUAGGAAGCAUGGAUAAAAAUCGCAUGUCAUGUUCAUAUCUGUUGUCAGUAUUUGCUGGACACUUCUCUGAUGCAUGUCCAAUAUUUGUUUAAAUUAUCCUAUUUUUUAAAGUUUAAAAGAUGCUCUAGAUACUUUCUGGAUAAUGGGAUACUUUCUUAAUACCUUUAAAUAUAAGGGUGAGGGAGUUUGCUUUUCUUUGUUUAAUGUUGACCUUAUAAUGGUGAAUGGUUUUGCAGUCUAUGACUUAAAUAUUGAACUAUGAAGUAUGGAUUGAGGUUGAUAGGUUUGAAUGAUCAAACAAUGAGCUUAUAAAAGCUGAUGAUGUCAGCUAAAGUGGGGACUGUAUUAUUCUUGACAGCAUACUAAGAUUUGUGCAUAAUUUUUUACAUAUAUAUGCUUGCAGUAUGUAUAUAGAGAAAGGCUAGGAUGCACUCAAGUGAAUUUGGCCCAAUUGCUUCCUAGUGAAAAUCAAUGGUGGACCUUUCAAAAUGAAAAUCAACACUGUUGAACUUGAUGUAUGUUGCAUAAAAUUUCUAAAAACAGUAAAAGUCACAUAGUUUCGAGAGCCUUCGCUCAUGCAUCGAAUUGUUGAAAAUGAACAGUUUAACUGUAUGAUGCUAUGUCUUCAUUUGAUCUAUAGUUGAGAAGCAUCCAAAUCAGUUGAAAUUUAAUAUUUAUAUGUUUUGAAGUAUCUAGAUCAAGGUCAAUGGUUUAGAAUUGCAAAUUAUUUAGUGUAAAGCAUACUUUAGCUCACUAACUAUACUACUACCACUCAUCUUAUACUCGCUUGAUGCAUAGGCAAGAGAUUUCUAAAAUAAAUUAUUUUUUAGUCUCUAGGCAUUUUAUACACUAUAGUUCAUGAUCACUGGUUUCGAUUUUUAUUCUGAGAGAUACAUCAUUGAUUUCCACUAGAAAGCAUUUGGGGCCAAAUGUACUUGGAUGCAUCCUAGCCCCCUCCUUUCUCUCUCUCUAUAUACGUGUGUGCAUAUGUAUAUGUAUGCACACGUCUAUGUGCAUUUAUGUGUAUAAAAUACAUUUACUUAUUUAUUGAUAUAUCCUAGCCAUAUUAUAUCUUAUUUUUUCAAGCUUUGCCAUAUUGGAAUAUUUGUAUCGUGUCGUAUCUGUGUCCCAUACCUGUGUUCGUGGUUCCUAGGUAAACUCCUGUGUUACUUAUAUUAUGCAUUACAUAAUUUAAGCAGAAAGAUAAUUCAGCAGCAUUCUGUCUUUGCCUGAAAGAUCCACUCCAGUUCGACUGUCACAUGAACAUGCAGGAUAUUUUUAAUACUUUCUGCUCUCAGUUCUCACUUUUCCUGAUUUCCCAUGCUUUUUGCUCUUGACCCUUAGCUAUCAUAAUUCCCCACCAUUCCUAGAAUGAAGCACUUGACCGUUCGCUUAGACAAAUAUGUGGGGCAGUUUUGCAGUGAUCCUUUAUGUUCAACCAAAUCUGCUUUAAAUUGGCUUCUGUCAUCAAACAAACACACCUCUGUCUCGAAUCCUUCAUCCGCUGUUAAGAAACUUAUACAAGAGCAAGACUUCCUUGCCCAAGUUAUCUGAAAUCAAAAUUUAUUUUUCUGCUUGCCCAGUGCUAUAUCAAGCAUUAUUAUUUUCAGUAUCUUCUGAAGAUACCAGACCACAGACGGCAUAUUGUACUACAUUUUGGUCUUCUGCUAUCAUCUUUAUUCACAUUCAUUGGUAAUAAUUGAACAAAUUCAACCUCAAUCUACACUUGUUGACCUCUUCAAAAAUAUUUCUUAUGUUGGGCAAUGAAAUUUCGCUGUCACACUGAUCUUUGCUAGAUGUAGCAAGAAAAUUAGCACAUGCAGCAAUAUGAGCACCUUAGGGCAUGGGAAAUUUCAGGACUUCUCACCACCUAUUAGCCAGAGGCCUAUAGAUACCAAUAGAUUUUCUUUUUUUUUUGGCUAGAGCGAGAAUACCAAUAGAUAUUCCCUGUUGUGAAGUAAACCUGUCUGCGAAGCCCCACAGCAAUUCAUCACCUUUUCCAGUCAAGUGUACUUUGCUGCCGAAAAAUUCUGUGAUAGCAGGAUCAAAGAACAACGUUUUUCAAUUGAUUGGAGCGCUAUUCUUGUUAAGAUCUCACCAUCUUGAGCAAUAUGUGAAAUAUAUGAUCUGUCAUUUCGAUACAUUACCAUGCUUGCCUGCCUCGUUUACUGCAAUUAUUGUUUGUUUGCUAGCUUUCCAUUUUGAACAUGAGCAUGUGCCAAGGACAAUGAAUGCAGAUCUGCAUUAAAAGGUUGCCUGGCAGAGUUGCCAUUUAUUUGAAAUUCUAAAAUCUCCAUUUUUCAGCUACCGUCGAGUUUCUUCAUGGUUCAAUUUCUGAUGAUGUGAUCCUUAUUUCCUUUCCAAACGUUAAGGAGGUGAGGGAUCCUUUAUUUUUCUCUUUCCUGAGUAUCAGUUGCUGCUUGUCUGAAGGGACUAGCUUUGGAGGAAGAGAUUAGUAACAAGGGAAGAUGUCACAGCUUGGAAACUGAAUGUGGCUUCAACAAGCAACUUGAGGCUUCGAAGGAGCAAUGUGCUGCCCUAGAAAGGGAAUGCAACCUUUUGAGAGGGGAAAAUGCUUCUCUCAUGCACGGUCUCUCCAUGUCCAAACAAGACGUAGAGCUCCUUACUGCCGAAAAAGAAGAAUUACUGAAGGAGCUGAACAUUGAAAGACAAAAAAUGAAGGAUCUUAAGGAGGAGAUCCAUGUGUUCAGUUUAGCAUUUUCCCAACGGGAGGGAUUACUCACAUCCCUCUACUCCAAAUCCAAGGCGAUGGUGGAAAACCUAAAAGCCUCUCAGGUUCCCACGCCUGAACUAUACGAUUGUUAAAGCUGAAUAUGCUGCCUCUUUAUUUAUUGAAUCAUAUACUAAUGCAGUUAGUAAGAGGUCCUGGCCUGUUAAGAGUGCUUUCCUUGUAUUGCCUAUGUUGAUCUAUUGAUCACACCAUGUCUUUACUUCCACACUUGCAUCGUUUAAAAUUUAAGUUAUUUUCCUUUCUUUCUCAGGACAUUUUACUUCGUGAAUUGAUCACCCAGUGCUUUUAAUUCACUAUAACGCCAAUUAAAGACAAUGUAUUUUUAUACUCCAUUUACUCAAAUGCUACUCAUGGCAUGCAUAUAAUUCAACGUAUAAUGCGUCUGUAAUCUCUUUGGUGGCAUGCGACUUCAAAUAAGGGAACAGAAACCUGUCAUCUUGUUAAACUUCCAAGUUGAUGAGGAUCAACAUAGGCCUUAAUCACAACCCAUGUCAGUGGUGGUAACGCUAAGCCAAAGUUUUUUUUUUUUUUUUUGUUUUUGAAGGCUUGGGUGGGCCGACGCCUGGUCGGGCCGGUCAAGUGGACGUGCUCCUGAUCGGGCCAUCAGAGCUAUGGGACCCACAUGUGUGGACGCAUUCCAAAAGCCCGCGAGCAUACGGGCGAUCGUUUUCUUUAGCGUCAAAGAGAGGAAGAUCUAAAAAGAGAGAUUUAGGUUUGGAUGUCUGCCGUAAGAGGAGCAGAGGGAUUCCUGGUGGCGAACACAUGCACUGGGUUUAGAGUUGAAGGGAGGGAGGGAGGAAGGAAGGGGACACUGGGGAGCAGCAGCCAAACCACCGACUCCCCAAAUCCCAUCAAUAAAUCAGCUCAAUCUUGUCCACAGCCCAAUCCUCCUGGUCUCGGACACAUGGGUUCCUCCACUACACGACAGAAGCUGUGGCAUUCGUCGGGCACAGUUCAAAAGAGAGCUGUUUGGGGUUACUAUCGGUGCGGAGUUGAAACUCUGAGAAGCAUUCAAACCAGGCACUGUAACAUGGUGAGCCAAAGCCUGUAAAAUGGAGACAGUGCAGGCCAAGCCAAAGGGGUUCAUUUCUUUUCCCCCUGCUGGUGCAACACGCCUGCUCCAGUUAAGUGUUCCCAUAACCAGUGAGAUAGCCCUUCGGUCUCAGAAAAGGGUUAUGAUACCCCAUUGCUUCAGUACAUCAUUCAACCUUUAAUCAGACUGGUACAUUGGAUUUUCACCUGAUGAUUUGAUGUAACUUGGUGCUUGCUAAAAAGGGUGCAUGUACCAUGGGGAGGGCCCCAUCCUCCUCCACUGAGGAGCAAACAAAAUUCUCAGCUGGCUGCUAGAUUCUCCGUUGCUAUUUCUUCCGUCACCCAUUAAUAGCGUUUGUAUGUUCUAGCUCUGGGGUGAUUUGAAUCGUUAGGGAUGUUUAUUUAAGUUCUUCUAUCUUCCUCUCCCUCCUUCAUUUAAACCACUCCCACACCUCACAUUAUCCCCCCUUCUCCUUGAGUUUCUGUCAUCCAUUUUCUUUCCAGAGCUGGAGGUCCAAUGGCCUGUCUUUCCAAAUCACCUUCAGCCCAAGGAAGGCGGCUGUUUGAGCUGCUGGAAGAGCAGCAGGAGCCUUUUCUGCUCGAAGUUUACCUUCUAGAGAAUGGGUAUUCUAAUAGGGUCCUGAAGUCGCAGGCUGCAAGCAUGUGUUGGCCUGGUGGUGCAUUCCAGAGGCUGCAGAGGCUUAGCAGUCAUGGUCUCAAGAGGAGAUGUGGGUUCCUUAGGUGCAUCCUCACCAAGGUUUUGUAUGGGAAGGCUGCCAAGAAGGCCUUGGAUUGGGACCGCAAGGCGCCUGAGAAUGGGAGAUCGAGUUUCUUCGAUUGCUUCACAGAAAUGGAACGCAAGAACCAUGAUGUAGAACCUGGCGGCAGCUUCUCAUGUCCCAGAGGCAGUGGCAGUGCCAGAGAAUUGGAUGGAGAUGGUCAGUGGAAAUGCAUGGAGGUGGAGGAGGACUUGGAGCAGCACAGUCCUGUUUCAGUGCUAGAGCUGCGUUCUUGUGAAGGCUCCCCCGCUCACAGUCGCAGUAAGUUGGCUUUGCUGCUUGUCUGGAUGUUUCUAUUUCCUCCUUUCUUUAUGAAUCGCAAGGAUUCAUUUCUUCGGUUUUUUUUCUCUUUCUUCUUUUUUGUUGCUUGACAGAUAAAGAAGAGAACAAAUCGACAUCUAGUCUCGAUUCGACAGCAGAAGCUUUAGACAUGAUCAAAGAGCUUCUCGAAGCUGCUUGUUCUCCUUCCUUCAAUCAGUUUGCUAAAUCAAACAAAGUGUUGCAUCAGCCAGAGCAGCUGCUGCUGGAUUGUGUGAGGGAGGUGGAAGAAAAGAUCUGUGCUUCCCAUGAGUCUUUGAGCCCUGAAAUGACCCGAAAAAUCAUCAAUGAGGAGAUCCUUUCAUGGGAGAUGCAAAAAGGAGAUUUGAUGAGGAUAAGCAACUUGAUAUUUUCAGAUGUGUCCAACUCGAUGAGGGAGUGGAAUCGCUUUCGGUCUCAGAUGAGAGAGAUUGUUAUUGAAAUAGAAGCUGCCAUUUUUGAAGAAAUCACGGAAGGCUUUGUCUUGAAUUUGCUGGACUUCCCUUGUACAUAUGAAAAGUUUUGAUUCUAUAUAUAAAAUAGAAUUAUUUUUCAGCAGCAACAAAAAAAAGGAGGAAUUCUUAAGUUCGCUAGUUUCAGUGGGCUCCUUGUUCUUUUUUGACAUAGGUUCUUGACCAAAUUUUUUUUUUAAAAAAACGCUCUUAAAUUUCUCAGGAAGCUACAACAUCAUCCUAUACAUUAAUUUCAGGUUGCUUGAGGUCAAUUGCAUGUUAAUGCGAAAUGGUUCUUAGCAUAAUGGCUCUACCCCCAUUCAAUGACUCAACAACCGUAGGUAUGGAAAGCAACAACAAUGUACCAACUAAGAUCGUGUGUUGAUGCUUCCUUUAUUGCAGUGGUGAGAGUGCAUCGUAUCUUUUUCAAAUCAAACCAACAGAGUUUAACAUUGCCUACGAGAUAAAAGAUCCCAAAGGGUUCAUGAUUAAAUUUUGGUUGAUUCUUAUUAGCUUCUCUUGAAAUGGAAGUAUUUUAAUCAUCAACAUUAUAAAACAUUAAUACGGACUAGGUUGUUGACACAUCCAUAUACGUCUCCAAUGUAAUCUCACAGCCCCUCCUGUGCUGGAUGCAGACUUGUAACUUUUUUAUGCUCGAUUAAAAGGGAGGGAGUACACCCAACUGAUACACUGAAUUAAUGACAUAAAAGAAGAUACAGCAGAGAAACGACAGUCAAAUGUGUUGCAGUUCAGCAAGCAGCACCAGGCAUGGAUUCAGACUUGUUUGUUUAUAAACCAUGUUCAUAAAGCAUUCAUUUCUCCGUUUUUUUUGUAAGAUUAUUUAUAUUGCUCAAAAAAAUUACUAUUUUCCAGUUUUACAGAGGAAACAAUCAUGACGAGCACUCACUGUGAAAUAUUAGUUUAGAGAAUGGAUCAUAUAUCUCGCUACCAUGACAAUACCGAUUUUUGUCAGGAAAGCCAGGGCCAAUUCAUUAUAUGUUCUUAGUGGGUAGGUGAGACACCGAUCUAUAGAUGUCUCUAUCUGAUGCUCUAUGAAAGCAUGUGCAGAUUAAUUACAUAUGAUAGAUGAGAAGAUAAAGGUUUGAUUUAUGUUAGCCCCAUCCCCAUAAAGAGGAGAGCAUAUAUACUUUAUUUGCUGUCUCUUAUGUUCUCCUUGGUUGUUUGCGAGAAACUUAAUUUAAAAUCUUUUUAUGUCUUUCUUCGCAUUCAAUAGUGAAAGUUCUAUGUAUCUCAUGGGUCACACAUGGAUUUGCUCGAUGUGCUUUCCAUAUGGCUGGAAAUCGCGUGUGGGAGUCCUGCACGCAGAAAACUCGGGUAGAACCUUGUCACGUAGCUUGGCAUUGGAGGAUGGAACUACACUGACAAGCUGCUUCACGCACUCCCUGAGCACUUAGACUGAUGCAUAGCGUGCAGAAGAGCUACAGUAAGCAGUUACCUGGAUUUCUUUUUCGGUUUUUUCAAAAAAAAUAUGAGGGGAAAGGGUUGCAGAGAGAGAGGCAACCAGCUUAAAUCCACCAAGUUGAUAAGAUGAUAUACAGCCAAGGAAGAAGGAAAGUAGGCUCGAUUUCAUCAACUUCAAUGUAACUUUGAAAAGGCCGCAGCAGGGCAUAAAAUUCAGUUGGAAGAGAUACUUUGGUAGGGGUUUACCUAUGGAACCACCCAUGCUCUUCUAUUUUAAUGCAUCAUCUCUAGUUAUUUAUGGAUCACCUGCUUUUGAGUCUCCUUGCAUUGAAUGAGACGUAGAGGCUCAUGAAUAAUGAAGUCCUUGAGAGAUGUUGGAUGGAAUUAGAGCAUUUGUCGCAUCAUGUUCAUGGGCAGCAUGUGCAUGGCAGUAAAAUAAGCAUCAUGGGCUUUGGAUUGUCUAUCUUCAGAAGGACAAAACUAGCCACCAACCUAUUAUUAUUUGUUGAGUGAAGCUGACAUUAGAAACCUCAUAACGCAGGGCCAAACCAAUUUCAUCUACGAACUAGUACUUUAUUAGUGCAUGAUUGAUGUAAAAGUCCUCGGAGACAGACAACCUUGGAGGUAGAUAUCCAUUCAAUGAUAGGAAACUGGCGAUUACAAGAACAUGAAUGGUUUCAAACGAGCCAGCAAUGAUAAGGUGAGGGGAAAAAAAAAGAAGAAAAAAGAAAAAACUACUUAUGUAAUGGUACAGAUGACCACCGAAACUUUGCCUGCUUGCAUCACUGAAGGUUGGGACUUCACUAAUUUAUUGAAUCCAUUUUUCAGCUAUAAUUCAACUGUCAGAAUUGGAUACUGUGUUGUUUAGAAGUGCUUCUCUUGCUUCUUGCCGACAUCAGUUUACUGCAUCUUAGCAAAAGGCCUUGUCCGUAGUUAUUAUUAUUCCCAUCCGCAGCUCUCCCAAGCCUAUGCUGUCUUAUAGGCAAGAUUAAUCCACUUUUCCUCGUACAUUCUAAUAUCUGAGCUUAAAAUUCCACUCCAUCAUCAAAUUAGAAAAAGAAAGAAACUUUUGAGCUCGAGUUGUAUAGCUCAGAGGAACUCGACAUAAGGAAGGGGGAUCAUUUACCUCAGAAGGAGAGUCCUCUUCCUCCCCACAUUACCUACAUUCCAUGGAAUCCACUCGGCAGGGGGACUAAACUAAAGAAUUUUAGGAAACUGUUUAUCAUAUUUUAUCUCUAUGAGGGCCUAUCUGCAAAAAAUGUCACUAAGUUUAAUUUAACCUCUCAUACCUGCAUGAGAACGUUGCAAAUACCCACUAAAUAACAUCAAUAUUAUUACAGUUGAAAGAAUCUGACAAAGUUCAGCUAGCCUCUGCAACUGGCCUGCAGGAACUUGUUCAAAUAUGAGCCCCCAGUUCAAGCCAGUAUUACAUAGAUAUUAGUGCCGUUAAACUUGAGCCAGUUCCGGCACACAAAAUGCCGGAUCUAGUUCGAACAGUGCCCACAGGGAGCCCCCGGGCCCCGGCCUGCUAGAUACUGAUGCUGCAUAAAGUUCCCCUCUUAAACUUUUUGCAACCCUUUUUGUCUGGUCAGGUUAUGAGAUCCAUGUAAAGCCUGUACGGCCCUGAAAAUUACUCUCUGUUUUUUGUUUCAAAAUGAAAGAUUAAAAGUUGACAUAUAAAAAAAAAGGAUUAAAAAGCUUAGGUUACGUUGCAUGCUUCGAUAACUUAAUCGGCUAUUAAGGGGUUACAGAUUUGCCUGAGGUGCAGGUGUAACCUGACAUACACAAGCUCAGACCGUGUUUAGCACAAGUUUAAUCCAAAUUGCUCGUGCUAUGCUCAUCUGGGCCAUCCCUAAAUCUUAAUCCAAAUAAGAUGGUGGGUUCGACGGUCACGAUGGAUUGGACCUGGCACCUUCCGGUGGCCCCUCUCUGAUCACAGCCUUGAAACUGGCCCAACAUAUCCUUCCUAAGGGCCGGCCCAAUUUUUUGGCCCCAGCAUGCUAAUUCAUGUUGGAUGCAUUGUAUUUCGGGUCGGGCUCGGAUAUGAAAGCUCUUUGGGCUGGACUCGGAGAUGGGGGUGGCCUGGCCAGCCCAACUCAAUUCCAGUCCUAUCGUCGAAAGCGUUGCAGGGACUAGUUCAAAUCUUCUAAAAAGAUAAUAGACUAGGUUAAGAUAAUCGAUAACUAUUCAUAUUCGAUUUGAGCUAGUCAUGCGAGGUCCUAUGUUUUUAGCCUUAUAUUAGCUAUGAACUAGAUAGAUCUUUAAUACUUAUAUAAAAUCAAAAAAUCUAAAUAAUAUUUUUUAACUAAUUUCUUUGCAUAAGAUUCGAAAUUGUUAUAAAAUUAAUUCUCUGAAACACACUCUAGCUCUUUUCGUUAAGUUGUGGGGGAGGAUCUGCUCACUUCUGGAUUUGUGGUCCUGAGAUGGGCCGCCCCUGGCAAUGACAGAGAGCCCUUUAUUUUAGGGGAGCUUAUUAUCCUGUCCGUUGAAUUUUUGUUAAUAUCAAACCCAAAUUAUGUCAUCUAAAACGAAAUCCUCCAAUAGAAAAAGGGUCAUGCCAUCUCUCUCAACAAGUGCGAUGAUGAGUGUAAUCUCCCUCGUCAAUACUUAUUAUUUUUCGGGUAUGUUUAAGCUUUCCAUAUCUGAGAAACGUUCCAUUGAUUGAUUUCCUCAAAUAUUUAAAGAACCACUCAGCUUUUGCUGCUUAUAAAAGAGCUGCAUAUGCAAACGAUAAAGCUUGCUUCAUAUAUAUGACAACACGAAACCACAAAGACCUCAACGAAAAGAGACAAUACCAAACCAGAAUUCAUGGAAGCACAACUUCAUGCUUUCUAGCCUCGGAUGGCUCAUUGAAUAAAAGAAAGCAAAACGAGACUACUGAUAUAAAGAUCCAUGACCGUAUGAAUUUCUCUGCCUCCACCUCCUCUCCAGAAACCUCUCACGAGUGGGAAGAGGAGGAAGCUGUGUCAGCCUCACAAUGCCAUGCUCUUCGACACCGCACACGUGUUUGCAAGAGAACCCAAACCCAGAGCCAAGGCCGCCACCUCUCUUGCUCUCCGCGGCUGCCUUGCCUUGACGCCUACCACUCUUGGUGCACUCCAAGUAGGCAGCGAGGAAGGGGUCCUCUUCCCUUCUGAACCUCCUCCUCAGAGAGCUCAUCGCCAGCGGCUGGAACGGGCAAGGGGGCAGGGGAACGUAGAGCCCAUGCGGCGACGCCUUGGGGCUCCCCGACCAGUACGGCGGUGGCGGCAGCCUCGGAGUCCGUGGGCUUGAUGGUGCAUCCGUGGGGCUAUGCUCACUACUCAUCUCUUCCCAGUUGCUUGGCUUCGGGGGAAAAGGAGGGAGAUUUAUAGAAUUCUCAUGCACCCUAUGUUCUCCAAGGGCUGGUCAUAUUUCUUGAGGAAAAGGGUAACAAGGCGUGGAGGGAAGAGGAGGGUGCGUUGUUGGGAACCGGGAUUUUCCACAGGGAGAGGGGAAGAAGGACCAGACUUCUUGUGGGCCUACAAGAUUGCUUGGUUUUUAUGCGAUGGUCACGGGGGUUUUUCUGCAAGUCAAGAGAGACGUAGAGGAAUUGGUUAGGUGGAGAAAAGAAAAAUAUCUGGACGAAAAAAACCGAGAAGCGCUGGUAGGGGAGGUAACGUUUGUGUGCUUAUUGUGGAUGUUUCUUGUGUGUGGAAGAGAAUGACUUCUUCUUCCUGCUUUCUUUUACUUCAUUUUCUUAUAGAAAACAGCAGCUGAUUUGUUUUUUGUCCUCCCAGCCUAAUUAAUAAGACCUGAAGCAUUGAAUAUAAACUAGUAUCAUCCGAAACAAUUCUUAGGAGCCCGGUGUGUAGCUUAGGGGUUUUUUUUUUUUUUUUUUUUUUUUGGGGGUUUUUUUGGGGGGGGGGGGUUUAGGNNNNNNNNNNNNNNNNNNNNGUUUGUUUGUUGGUGGGGGGGGGUUAGAGGAGUAGGAGAUAACCCAGUCGACCGCACUGUUCACCUCCCGGUAGACAUAGAUAGCUCGAAAUGUCGCAAGCCCACCUACAAUCUUACAUAUAUCCCACAGGAGCUUCUGAAUCUAGUAGAUCACCAUAGCCGCAUCGCCCUCAAACUAAAUACAGAUCGCCCCUAGGACCAAUAUGAUAAAGAUAAUGCACUCCUAAACAGCUCUCACUCCACACCAUUGACUACUUGUCGAAGACGCGCCGCCUCCCGCCGCAAUGAGCCUAGACUCAUGAUCCAUAGUCACAAAACCCACUCCACCUCUAUCUCCAUCGUCAGCGAUACUAUCAUCAAAAUUGAUCUUGAGGAAGCUACGGGGUGGGAGCUCUCAGGAGACUAGAAUAGUUCUGGGCGCUAUAUUGGCUAAGUGGGAGUCACAGAUGUCCCUGGCCGACCCAAGCAACGUUGCAACAGUAGUGCUAAUAAUCUCUGCUGCAUGAAGUAAAACUCCGUCCUCUACUAUCCUCAGGUGCAUUCUACUGCCCUCGUAUAUUCAGAUGUUUUAGUCUAACAAUAUAAACCUUCGACACACCGAUAUUAUAUGGCUUCUUAUGACCAUUGUAAAGCUCAGUCUCAAUCUCUGUCUGGAUGGUAUAAAAAAUAAAUUUAAAAAUAAACGUGCUGCUGAUUGCCCAGAUGACAAAUCAAAGUCAUCAUCUGAAACAUAAAAAUCCUAUGCCUACCAAGCAUAUAUCUUUCAUCCUUAUCCAGCUAUUUCUUCAGCAAAUAGGAUGGUCUAAAUUAGCCUAAUUCAACUCCUAUCCAAUCAAACAACGUGGUGAUUGAGAAAAAGCCUUUUAACCAUGAAAUUCUGCUUGAUACCGUCACCAACAUGGUCCUUCUCCUAGCAGUGUUUGUAGGAUGGCAGCAUCCGUAGUCGCUCAUACGAUCUGUGACUAAAAACCAUGCGGAUGGCGUGUCGUGGCUAAAGAUAUGGUAUAUAUCCUUUUCUAAUAACAUCACUGUCAGAAUUGCCUGCUUGCAAGAUUGCUAAGACUACUUGGAAUGCGCCUUUUAGAAACGUAGCUAAACUUUGUACAAGUGAGGAAGAAGGUCAGUCGAGCGCAUGGGAAAACUAGGAGGCUACACUGAAUUUUAGUAUAGAACGUUAGUUCUAUACUAACGUUCCACUCACAGUCUAUCAGUAAUCUCUUGGGGUAUGGUUCCUAAAAAUUGUUAUAAUUUUGAUUACUAUGUCUUUUUUUUUCCCUAGAAAUUACUAUUUCCCCAUAUGUUUUCCAUAAUUCAGCACUCUACAUGGUUGGGAAAGUUCUUGGAAUUGGUCCAUUGUUAGUGUCUGUGGACAAUUUGAAAUUUAUCAUCUCUGCAAUUGUUUGCGUUGGAGAGGUUGAAUUUCUUAUGAUUUAUUUUCGGUGAUGGCUUUCCUGCCAUGCCCUUGCCAUAAUUUAGGUUAAAUGGCAAUAUGAUUCGUGCUUCGCCAAAUAUCUGAUAUGAGUAAUCCUUCCACAAUAGUUAAAGUUGCUCCUACAAUUGUUAUCUAAAAUAAAAUAAAUAAAUGGAUAACAAAUUAGAUCCCUCAAAAAAAGUUGCAAAGAUAAAAGCAAAAUUGAUAACUAAAGUUCAUGCAAGUUCGUACCAGACUGUAAUAAAUAGCAUCCAAGAGAACUAAAAAGAUCCACUCCAAUUUUAUUAUAAUUUACUGUUUAAUCAAAGUGCAUCUCUCUAGGACGAAUGCUAAUAAAAGCACUGGUGCAUCAUGUUACAACCCAUUUCUGGGUUUCUGAAUAACCGACAUAAAACUAAAUACAUGUCCGCACGAAUCUUCACAUACUCUUCCAGUUUAAGCUCCGACGUAUUCAUCAGACUAAAAAUUCAAAUUCAUUCAAAUCUAAUCACAAGCAUCACGAUCGACUUCCAUAAAUCCGUGCUACAGUGCCUCAUAAUUCACAUAGGCUAUGCAUCGAGUACGCUUUAAUACAUUUAUCAUAACUAGUCGAAAGGUAUUUUUUUAGAUUCCUUUGUCCCGUAUAGAUAUUUCAAGAUCUUCUUGACAAAUAAUCGAUGUACGACUAAACACAUGCCCAAACGGAUCCUCACAAAUCACCUCGAAGUACAAACAAUUUGACAGUGCUGUGACUAAUGAGAGAUUCAAGCCCAAAUAAGUCAGACAAGAUGUCACGUUCAAGCCCAAUGAUCAUACCAAAUUUAACCUGCACUCAUAAACAAAGCUGCAGAAACACAAGCCAGAAGGACACUUUCCAGCACAACGACGACGAUUCUUCACACAAACCAUCCAUAAAGUAUGCGGACAGCGGACUGUUGAACAGAGCACAAAGAUGAGAGAAAAAAAUAAAGAACAUAGAGGAUAAAAUAAACAAACUCAAAACAAAAAGGUUCCAUGUUCUUGAGUUGCAUACUUAAAACUAUAACCUACUUUCCACAACCCAGGUUGCAUGCCUUCUUCAGUGCCUUCUCUAUGCUGCUCUUUUGAGUAGUUUCUUUUUGAUGCUGUCUUCUUGUACUUGUGUCUCGGUCAGAAGACUCUACAGUGAGGGGAUGGUUGUUGGGGGAUCCACAAUGUUUGAGCCGAGGAGAUCAUUGCACAAGCUGCCAGUGCUAUCAUGGGCCUUGUGGCUCUCUGCCAGGGGGCUACUCCCAGUGCUGCUCGACACCGAGCCAAAGGUGGUCUUCUGCAGGACACCUGUGGGGGAUGACUCGAAUGUAGGACUUGAAUCCCAGCCAUCUGUCAAGAGGUUUAGAGAUGAUGAGGAGCAGUUCUUGCUUUGGUCCUUUGGAGUGCUGGAGGUGUUGGUCAAGACCUCUCCUAAUGGUCCAGCAAUGGAGGCCUCCCAGGAGAUAGGUAUCCAACUUGCCUGUCGUUGGCUCACCUCAUUCAGAACACCUCCUACUCCUAGACCCAUAUGAGUGGGAUCAAAAUCCUGGGAUAACUUAAGGGGUGAAAGUGUAAGCUUUUCCUGGUUAGGAGAAGAGGAUGAUGAUGAGAUGUCUGACGAAGCCAUGGGGAUUGAAAUGGAGAGUUGGGUUCGGUCAGAUUGCAUUUCCUCGACAUCAGGCCAGGUGAUGGUUGAGCGGGCAGACUGGUUUUUAGGCCAGUCAUCAAUGAAAUGUCGAAGAGGAUGGGGUUGGGGUGGUUGCUCAUUCAGUUUUGGAGUAGGUAUGAAGCUGAACUUCUCUGAGGAGCUUCUUGAAGGAUCGAGAACGAUUUCAGUGGAAAUGUGUCCAAAGCCUGCUUGGGAUGAGGCUACAUCAAAAGGAUCAUGCUGCUUAGAGAAGGGAAAUAAGGUGUUCACAGGUUUUGGGUUAAUAGAAUUUAGUGUGGAGAGGCCCUGUGACUCCUGCACAUGAUCAUUUACAUUCUCUUUGCUCACUAGCAUCCUGCAGAAGAUCAAUGAUGAUCAAUAAGUAAAUUAAAGGGUGAUCAUGCAAUACAACUCAAAGAUUCAGUUUUUCAGGAGAAUUUAAUUACUCAUGCAAUACAACUCAAAGAGUCAGUUUUUCACUACAAUAUCAUCACUAUCUGACAGGUAUGUUUCACAAAUGUGCUUAGAUCCUACAUAAAACAAAUACAUAAUAUCAUUUGGUUCAUCGCUCUUGGAUUUUACAAAAGGUAACCGAGACGUUCACAAUCUUUAAAGACUCGGAAAUGUAAUAGCAUAUUAUCAUUUUUCUCUCAAAAGGAGAACAAGUCAGUGAGGUGAUCAAGACUGUGGAUAAGUGUAUUUCCUUGAAGAAAAAAGAACUCGAACAACCUAAAACAGAUUUUAUACAAUAGUUCAAUUUAGUGGGAAAACAAAUUCAUUUUACAUGGCCAAAUAGAACGUCUCAAAUAGUUGUGGCUUAAAUUUCCGGAUUGACAAAGGAAUCCUUCAAGGACAAUCUACUGAAACUAGGAUUCCUUUUUUUUUAGUUCUAAUCAACAGACACGAAUACCUAGAAUCCAGCAAUAGCCGAAAAAAAUUAUUUUUAGAAAGCAUUAUUUAUUUUGAGUUAGCGAAGCUACAAUGACAUAAAUACGAUAAUGGAUAGAAUAUAGAAAUUAUAUAGGUAAAAUUAUGGCUGUCAUAUAGAAACAUAACAUCAUUCUAAGUUGAGUACAGGCAUGAUAGCAAUGAGACAGCUUCAUGGAAAUAGUUAAACUAUGAUGGCUCGGUCCACUUGAUUGGCCAGACCCAUAUGCAGCCCAGCUAAGCUGGGCCGCGUAGUUGGGCAGCAGAAGACUCCCACCAACAUCUCCAGGAAGAAGAGGAAGUCCUAGGCUCGCCAAGACCUUGGGACUCUCUAUAAAUAGGACCCCCCUCUCCCCAAUAGCCCUCCAUCGACGAGCACCAUGCCUCCACUCUCUUUCUCCCUCUUUCUCCCUAUUUUGGCCGAUUCCUUUUCACUAUGGCUGCCGGACAUUGAGACCAGAGAACACCGUUAGAGCUAACGUAAAGCUUCGGCCUUCCUCCCUUUUGCUUUCUCCUGUCCAUGGCCCUAAAUCACCACUGUCGGCCUUGAUUUCGCCAGAAAUCAACCAAAAAGAAAAACCCUUGUUUCACCACUUUUUCCUUUUUUUCCAACCACCAGCGUCACUGCCUCUCGUCACCGAACCCCUGGUUGAGUCCCUCAGCCUCCCUACUAACCUUCCAAGCAAAUCCAUGGCCACCGAUGAAUGGCCAACACCCAAAACAAUGAAAAAGCCUUCGUUUCCCUAUUUUAUCGACCUUUUUUCUUUGAUUUCUCGCCGACCAAUCACUACCGCUGACUGUCCACCUCCUCCGACUACCAACCAUGCCCUCUGGCACAAUUCCCAGCAAUCUCGGCCUCUCCUUCUUCUUCUAGGAGAGAUGAAGACUCACUCUCUUGUUUUUCUUUGUUCUUCUUUCUUCUCCCUCUCUAGGAAGAUCCAUGGAUCUCAGUGCAAAGUCCCAUCUCACUGUCAUAUGGACCUAAGUUGAUCCCCGAGCAGCCUGUCAGACCGAUCAUCCCCACCCUUGUUGAGCAUCUUUGAAACCCACUAUUGAUGAAUCCUAUCAAAUGAUCUUGGCCUUGAUCGAGCCGCUUAAAUCUGACCCAUCCGGGGCCGCCAAAUGCCGUUGCCCAGCCAAUUAUCCCUUUUUUCUUGCUAUUUUAAUAUUAUUAAAGUUAUCACAUCAGAAUUAAUUCUGCUUUAGUGUUUUAAAUAGGUUUAGCAGAUUCACCUAGUGAAGUUCAAUGGUUUAAGACGGAAGAUGUAAGUAAAUCUUACAGUUCUUAUUAAUUUUCAAACUAUCACAUGUUUUCCAUGCAUAUGAUUUGUCAUUGAUGAUUUUCUUAAAACAAAGGACCGACAUAUGUAUUAUGAAAAUUAUGUGUUGUUGCAAAAAGUCGUUUUGUGAAUAUUUUUAAUGAAUAUAUAUUGUUUAUGAAAUAUGAAUUAUCAUGCCAUUUAGUGUUUUUCCACCUACUGAUGUGUAUGUUUAAAAAAAAGAUAUAAAUAUUUUAAAAACUCUGAGAUAGCCAUGUAUGACCUCUAGAAUUAGGAAAGAUUGAUAUCUGUAACUAGUUUCACAUGAACACAGGCCAUGCCAAUGGGUAUAAAAUUGGCAUACAAACAUGAAUUUUUAUCGAUUAUGAACACAGAGUCUAUUAGGAUUAUAAAGU
rnacentral:lncRNA from 1 species